UAAUUACAAUUUUUUUUUAAAAAAAAGAAGGGCAAAGUAAGAGUGUCAAUAAGCCGAACACAAGUGAGCUGGAUCGGCUUGUGUUCAGCUCAUUUAAAUAUCGAGUCGAAUACGAGUUGACUCAUUAAAGUAUCAAAUCAAAAAAUUCAGUUUAUAUUCAGCUCGUUAGUAAAUGAACCGAACACGAGCCGGCUCAUGAGCUUGCCAACGAACAAUAAGUUUAACAAAUUAGAAUGAAUAUAUAUAAAAAAUACAUUUAUAAAAUCUUAUCCAUUAGACUUUAAUCUAAUAGUUAAAACUUUACAUAUAAAUAAGUCUUUUAUAAAUAAAUAAAUAUAUAUAUAUAUAUAUAAUAUAAUUAUUUAUAUUUAUUUAAAUAUAUAUAAAUAUAAAUUAUAUAAAUAUAAAAUAUAUGUAUUCGAGUUGUUAUCGAGCCGAAUACAAUCGAGUUGCCUCUAGCUCGUGUUCGGUUCAGUUUAUUAAACGAGUUGAAAAAUUCAGUUCGUGUUCAGUUCAUUUACUAAAUGAGCGAUUCGAUCUCGAAUUCAUUUCGAACCGAACACGAGCUGGCUCACGAACAGCGAGCCGGAUUGCCACUCCUAUGGCAAAGGGACUAAAUCAUUAUACUAAUUACUUUGGUGUCUAAUAAUAUUUCUAGCUAAGUGGGGGAGAUAAAAGGUAUUGAGAAUUAGAUGAGUUUGCUUUUAAUCAGCCAUACAAAUUGAAACAUGAGAUGAAGUAGAAAAUUUAUAUCGCAGCGACGCAUAGAUCUAUACUUUUACCGCGUUUGGUUCUGCGUAAAACGAAUUGAAAAAUUAUUUUUGUCAUAAAAAAUACUUUUUUACUUAUUUGGUUCAACGUAAAAAUAUUUUUUUAUAAAAGUAUUUUUAUGAAUUUAGAGAAAAAUUGAAGUUUCUAUUUUUUGCUAUUUUCGACGGAAAAUAAAAAUUCAAACAGCGCAAAACUUUUUUCAUUCAUUUUCUUCCACCCAACAAAACAAAUGUGAAUUCUUUUUUCUUUAACCAAAACAAACGUUAAUGACACAUUUCUUUUUUCCCCUACAAAUCAAAUGCUACUAAAAUGUAAAAAUUUUUUCUAUCAAAAAAUAUAUUUUAUAAAAAAUUAUUUUUUACGAUUUUACGCUGAACCAAACGGCUCCUAAAAGAGGAACCAAGUAAUACUAUUAUGAUCAAAAUUUAGGUACAUGAGCUGAUGUAUCAGGUCGUAUCUUGUGAUGUUUUACCAAAGGAAUCCGAAGCUCAUCUAUGCUAACAAACAAAUUCUGAUGUGACAUAUUAUAUGUGACAGGCACCAGCAGAGAAAAAAGUAGCUCACCUUACCCUAACUACAAACUUUAUUUUUGUCCCCCUAAUUUUCAUUUUAAUGAAUGAUGCAUGGCACAAACUUCCCAUGCAGAUGUCACAUAACAAAGUAUAAAAAUUCUUGUGUAGAAAUAAAAAAAAUUAUCACUAAAAUAUUUCUCACAUUACUUGACAACAUAUAUAUGUUUUUUUUACAUGAUGGUUCUCUGAAAAAGUAAAAAAAAGAGGGGGGAGAAAAGGAAUGAACAUAGAAGUUUAAAAAAAACAAUAAUAAUAACAAAAUGAUAGUAGUCCCAGAUUGAAUGAAAACCUAUACUCAAAGAUGUCUAUAAGAACAUGGAUUUUGGUUAGCCUGUACAAGUUGUUCACUUUUUAGGAAACUUGUCAAAUUUGUUCUGGUUCUGUUGAAAGACCUGCUGCAAUCAGAAAACAGAUAUCAACUUAGAACUAUUCAAUAUCAGAAUAUAUAGUUUUUUUUGGGGGGGGAAAAUGAUUCCACAAAAUAAUUAUCAUGCUUACCAUUUUGAUUGAGGAGUUUUCUGCACCAUUUGUGAUCUUCCCACAGGGUUGUUUCUACUUUCUGUUAAUGAGAUUCUGUAUUUUCCUCUGUUGGCAUUUGCAAGAAAAGGGCAUUGCAAUUGUUUCUCAUAAGUGGAGAAACAAAUUGUGUUAUUAGUUGGGUCAGUAAAAAUAGGUUGAAAAUUUUGUGUUAUUUGAUGUUGGCGCUUUUCGGUGAGUGUAACACAUUCUCCAGCUCUUUCUUCGAAUUGCUGAGCUUCUUCUCAUUUUCCGCCUCCUUUUGAGCUUUCUUCUUUUCAAGUUCGAGUUGCUUGCAGUUCUCAUUGUGGGCGCGUAUGAACAUCCUCACGAAGUUGAGAAGCGUCGAGACCACUGCACGACAUAAGGAGACAAAUGAGGGAUAUGAUUAGUGAUAUUUCCAGAUAGAACUGAAUGGAUAGAACCCAUUUUUAUGCAUAUAGGAAGCUAAAAACAAAAGAGAGAAAAUAAAUUCUCCUCGCUGCUCGCAUAAAUAAUUAAGAUGAAAUUUUCUUUUGAAAAGAAUACAUGUGAGGCAGUUUAAAAACUCGGCUAGAAAUGCAAUGUACAUAGAAAAAAUUAGUCAAGAAAAAAAAAAAAACCGUAAGCAAGCCACAGGUAGCAGGUAGAGGUAUAUAUAAAGGCAUGAAAAGAAUCAGUUUAAAUACUACCAGAUGAUACGCCGAAGACAUAUGAUUUAGUAUAUGAAGCUAUUAAUAUGGCACUCAAAUUUGGAAACUUAGGUCUUUUGAAGCAAAUUUGAUGCACUGACACAACACUCACCUUGCUCGAAUGGACAGCGGGCAGGACCUUCUCCAAAAUAAAGAGCUAAAGCAUCAGCAUUCCUCCCCUGUUAUGUUUAAGUAUGAUAAAUUUCUCAAGAACUUAAAUCUUAACUGAGAAAAGAGUUGUAUCUCAAAACAUCUUCAGAUCCUGUUUUGCGAAAAAUCUCAUACUUACCACGUUAGAAUACAAUGAAGUUAAAGCCCUAACUUCAGCUUCAGCAACAUUAAGAAAAGUCUUCAGUGUCUGAAGAAAAGAUAGCAGUUAUUGCGCAGGCCUCUAUAUAAAAUGAAUAAAUAAGAGACAAAUCACAAACCACAACAGAGUUUGAUUUCACUUAAUAAUCAUGAAGUUGUAUCCUAAAAACAAACCGGUCACUGCAGUCUUAUGGUGAUAUCACUCUUUAGGGGCCUGCUUUGGAUUCUGAACAAAUUGCUCUCUAACAUCUUAGUGAAAAGUUGGAAGAAUAUGUGGGACAAAAUUAAGCUAACAGUGGCCAAAAGGUAAAAGCAAAGACAAUAAGACUAAUAAAUUAAUAAACUCUGCAAUGAAGAAGCAAAAGGUCGAAAUAAUUGUGCAUCAGUAUACCUUGCGGAAAGUCUCGGACACAGGACCAUCGUUCUCAGAUGCAGUUAAUUCUUGUUCAACUUUCUCCAGUCCUUUGCUUACUGCUUGCAUUUCCUCUGCCAAAAAUUUCAGUUGUAUCUGAACAAAAUUGAAAAUUUUUGUGUCAGUUAGGGAUCAUGGAUCUAGCAAAAUAUCAAAAAUUUCUAGGUUGCAUUGAUUAAAUUGUACCUUAGAUGCCACUUCCAAGCUAACUAGAUCCUUGGGAAAGUCGAGAAGUUCAGGAAGCUUAUCAGCAAGGACCUGCAGUUAUAAGGAAAUUAAACCCAAAAGAGCAGUGGUAAGCACAUUUUGAAACAGAUAAUUAGAGCUUGUGUUUAUACUUGAAUAGUCUACAGAUGUAUGUGGCGGACACAAUUCUCAUCGACUACUUCAUUGAUAUACGUUGAAUACUUCAUUUAUAUACACAGUAUACAACUGUAUAAAGGAGGUACCAUAUAGGUGGACAUUUCUUUGAUACUUCUAGGAUUGGGGUUCAGAUAUAUGUUACCGAGAAGAGCUUUCUCCGAUAACGAAUAAUGACGACAUUCUAAUUAGUUAAUUAAUGAAGUGGAUUUGCUUGCUCGGGUAUACUCUUAUUGGUCGCCACAUCCCUUCGCAUGUGUGUGAGCAGUACAUACGUAUGUCCUUUUCCUCACGUGUCAUAUCCUUUUUAAAAAAUGGUAGUGCCAGCGUGUUGCAUUAUCUCAUCCCUACUAUGUAUACAUGUCUGUAAAUCAAAACAUCUUCUACAAAAUUAUCACAGCUAACAAGGAAAGGUACCUUGCAUAAAUAAUGCAUUAGAGUCAUCUUAUUGUUUCGUGCACGUGUAUCACUAAGUUUGAGAAGGCUAUCCAACCUAAAUCCAACAGCAGAACCUGCAAUUAUAGCAUAGUGCGAAUAAUAAUUUAGAGCAAGCUAACAAAGAAGAGUAGGAAAAAAAAAACUCUUGAGGAUUUAAUCUUAUAAGUGGUAUCUCUUAAUAGUUGCAGUGUUUAAACAUCAUACUUUAAAUCAUUACUUACCCCGGGCUGUUCCCUGAUUUAAUGCAUUCCCCAAAGAAAGAAUUGUCUGCAUAAUUCUUUUCAAUUUCAUAGAGCUCCUGAUCUACUAGCAUGGAAGCAAAAUGAGUAAAAGAAAUCAUCUUAGAAUAAAUUUAAGGUAAGAAUGUAUAGAGAACCUCUCGCUAUAGGACAAUUUGAAAUAGACCUACCAACUUUAUUCUUUUACGCACCCCUCAAACUUUUUUUUUUUUAUUUGAGUUAUUCUGCUAAACUGGAUUGGGCAUUCGUUGAACUUCACAACUCUAUCAGCUAUCAGAAUAAUAACAGUUGACAAAAUCUUUAGUUCUAAUAGCUGAAAAAGUGUUCAGAAUGGUUAGAUUUCAUAGAACCAAAAUUAUAUAUAACAAAAUGCUUGGUUUAAUUGAUGGAAAUGACUCAAAUCAAAGGAAUAAAAAACUGUGGAGGUAUCAAUUGAAAGAAAAACAGUUGAAGGUUCUAUAUCAAAAUGGCUUGUAGUUGAGGUGGUCCAUGUACAUUUUUACCUAAACUAAUAUUGGCGCCCACUAAUCAAAACUGACCUCUUCUGCAGCAGAAUUUACAAUGUUAAGGUUGCGCCUAAGGUCAGAAACCUGGAAAAAAAAAAACAUAUUCAACUAAGUUAAUACGAAUAAGACAACAAUAUUUAGAAAUAUGAAUUAUAAAUAUAAGGAGGAACAAAUAGCUAGUCUGACCUGAGAGCGAAAGUGUAUCUUAAAGGAAAAUACUCUCAGCUUUGAUUCCACCCGUGGUACCUUCAUAAGCUCCAAAAAGUACUGAAAGUGAAAAGUUUGAAUGUCAAAAAAGGACUCGACAAAGAAAGAAGGCCCAAAAGAGCUACAGCGCACGAAGAGAACUAUCAGCCUGACAAGUUGAUAACAAUUAGAACAAGGAAUAGAUCAGCGUCUAGAUAAAACUAAUUUUACAGUUUAAAAAAAAAAAUUCAAAAUAGAAGUCACAUAAUUCCUGACCCGUUCACAUUCUCCUAAGCUUUCUUUAUCUCCAUUGUAACCCUGAAUUUGACGGUGAAAGCAUUAUUAAACUGAAAAGGACAGCCUCAGUGAUGAAGUUACUUGUGAAAUAUAGCAAAAAUCUAAUGUUACCUUUAGAAGUUCCAUUUCCUCUUUGGUUGGCGUAAACUUUAUGAGGUUUUCAACCUGAUCAGCAUCCAAUACAGAAUCAUCCAGGGUAAGAAUUGCACUCUAAAAUGAAAGAAAAGAGCAACCAUGAGACGAGUCUUUUUCAUAUGAGAAAUAAUUGUAUGGUUGAGAGAAGUAGACAUGAAGUAGGAGCCUUUAUGCCACAGAACGUACCCAGAAGCAGAUAAUCUGUUCAUAAUAAUGCUUCUUUAUUGAAUACCAAUUAAAAUUCAUAAAGAAUGUAUUAUUUUUCUAAAAAAAUGAGCUCUUCUAUGUCAUUAUAUCAGGCGUGCCUCCAUAUAUAAUUCAAAAUCUACAAUAAUAUGAGAAUGCAGUAUGCCAGUAUGUGUCAAUUAUAUUUUUCAUUCUUACCAUCAAAUCAGAGAGUGGCAUCUUAACUUUUGUAAGCAUGAUUCCACAAUUGUUAGCCCGGCGAAGAUCAAUCUGCAAGAAUCAGGUAAAUGACGGAUGGAACAUGAGGUAAAUAAAAGAACCAUAGCGCAAGGUCAACAAGUUUGCAGUUGAUCAGUUGUGGAACCAUGACACAAGCAAAUUAAAGAGCCUACAACUAUUAUAUUUAGUUUAUCUACUUUUUUUCAAUUGAUAUCAGAUGUAUGAAACUAGGGAGAUUAGGGAGAUUAGAUGUUGUGAUUAUCAGUUUAGAACUCACAAACGAUGAUGUCUGAAGAGGAAAAUUGAAUGAGUAUUUCAGAAAACAAAAACUUGCGAAAGAACAGUAAGUGUAUCAGAGAAGAGACAAAAAAACAUAAACCAAUCGUCAGACUCAUAAAAGAGAUCCCAGCACAUAAAGACACGAAAAUAAAUGCUUCAAGAAUGAAAUAAUAAUUCACCAGAUGAACUUUCUCUGAUCUCGAUCCUGCAGAACGUCCGCUUGACUUUUCAGCUGAACCUCGAGAAUCAGAAUUAGGCACAGCUGCGGAGAAAAGAUUCUCAAGUUCGGACAUAUCAAAGUCUGGAGCCCUAACAUAAAACAAUUACAAAAGAAAUGCGAGUAAUAUACCCAAAAAAAUCAGCCAAAAAAACAAGAAGAUUAGUAAGUGUAAAUGGCCACACACGUUAAAGCUUCAUCGGAUUUUUGAGCCUCAGCCCAUAGACUUCCCUGCAUCGCUCUUGUUACUUUCACCCAAUGCAGUGGCUUCAAAUUAGCCCUUUUAGCUGAAGACUGGUUCGAUUGCAUGCCCCUAGUUGCUGCACGAGUCAUGCCUCGUCCCCUCCCGCCCAAUGAAGGAGGGUUCAUACCAUUAGGAGGUGGUGGAGGUGCAGCAUCACCACCAGACCCUUUCUUUCCAGAAGAGCUUGAUUCCUUCAAGAAAGGCGGAGCAAGAGAGGGAGGAGGUGGUACAGGUGGAGUCGGCGUUGUUUUGCUGGCAGGCCCGGCAGAGUUCUUGGAUGACGAAUGAGGUGGCGGUGGCGGUGGCGGUGCUGAAGGUGCAGAGCUUGAAGGAGGAGGAGGCGGUAGGGGAGGAGCAUUAGCUACAGUUGGUGGCUUCUUUGACGGCUGAGGUAAGGCAGUGAAAGGUGGAGGAGGGGGAGGAGUUGGUAAUGAUUUCUUGGAGGUGGUGUUGUUAGAGGAUGUUUGGUAUGUUGGUGGGACUGAGUUAGUUGGAUCUAAUCUAGGUAAAUUUGGUACUAGUGGAGGAGGAGGAGGAGGAGGAGGAGGGGGAGUAGGAGGCAUUAAAGACAGUUUAUCUUUAACUGUCGGACGAUUUAUAUCCUUUGAAGAUGAAGGAAUAGAAUUUUUGUUCUCUGACAUACGAGGUGGCAGGGACGGUGGCGGUGGCGGCGGCGGCGGCGGAGGCGGUGAUGCUGAUGUUUGCGGUGGAGGGGGCGGUGGUGGAGGUGGCGGCGGUGAUGUUUGUGGUGGAGGGGAUGGUGACGGAGGUGGCGGUGGUGAUGUUUGCGGUGGAGGGGGUGGUGGCGGAGGCGACGAUGGUGACGUUCGCGGUGCAGGGGUUGGUGGCAGAGGCGGCGAUGGUGAUGUUUGCGGUGGAGGCAGUGGUGGUGGUGCUUUAACUGGGGCACCUGAAGAAGUAGCUGCUGAAACCUUUUCGAUGGAGCUUGCUGAAGUGGAUAAUUGAGAAGCUUGCCCUUUUGGAGGCGAUGAUCUUGAAGGAGUGCAAGGCCGCGAAGGUCCAUUAGCCGCACCAGUUGACAGGGAUUGAACAUUGGGAGAAAUCACUGCAGAACUAGAAUUAUCUGAUCUUACAAACUCAGCGUGAUCCUGCAACAGAGCUGUAAUGCCGAGAGCAGAAGGUGCACUAUGAAAUCUUGAAACAGUUUUCACAGAGCCUGAAACCGAGUUGGAAGAAAGAACUGGAGUAGACCGAGAAGCUGGGAUUCGUUGGGAUAUUAUUUUGACCUGAGAAGCACUUUUCAACGUAACCGGCUUUUCGUGGAGCUGAGCAGUUUGACUUCGUGGGAUUGAAUCGCCAGAACUUUUAGGGGAGGGAACAAAUUGCUGCUUCGGGCGCUGCUCACUCCUAAUUUCCAUAAAUAUACUAUUUUCAGAUUGUUGUUUCUCUUCAUGAAAUUUAGGCCUCGAUUUCUCCUUACAAGCAUUGAUUUCUUCUCUUUGCGGAGAAAAGGCAACUCGGUUUGAAUCGGUGGAACUUUUAGGAGAGGGAAUAGAUAGCUGCUUUGGAGGCUGCUCGCUUCUACUUUCUGUAAUAGAAGAAUUACCCGAUUGUACUUUCUCUUGUUGAAUUUCAGGGCUCAAUUUCUCCUUAAGAGUAUCAAUUUCUUCUUUUCGUGGAGAAAAGGCAGCUUGGAUUGAAUCAGUAUAAUUUUUGGGAGAGAGAACAGACUGCUGCUUCGCAGGCUGCUCGCUCCUAGUCUCUGUAAUAGUAGUAUCAGAUUGAACUUUAUCUUGACGAAUUUUAGGGCUUAAUUUCUCUUUAAGAAUCUCGAUUUCUUCUUUUCGGGGAGAAAGGGCAUCUCUCUUCUCUCCAAAACUACUCGAUAAAGUGAUUUGCUGGAGCAACUGAAGUGCAGCAUCGCCCUUUGCGUCCAGCCAAUCCACAUUACUGAAUAUUUCUUGCACUUUGGCAAAUGCUUCUACUGGAAGCCCUUCUUUCUCUCCUGUGCUAGCCAAUUCCAUAGUAAUUAACUGAUUCGUUGCAUCCAUUUCAGAAAGAAGAACCUUUUGAAAAGGAAAAGAGAGAAAGAACAAUAAUUGAUCUUUAUUACUUCAGCAUUUUUACAAGGAAGGAUGCAAUUGCAAGUAAAAAAGGACACUUGUACCUCAGCGCGAAAAUCUUUUGGGAACCGGUCUUUGGCGUCCCACAGUAUGUCGAUUUCAUCGCGAUUGAGCAUUAGAAUGUUAGACCUAAUGAAGGCUGUAUUGAACAUUACUCUAAACAUCAUCUCUUCUCGUUCUAGAUCCUCAUCCAAGCUGAUGCACUCAAGUAAAACAUCUCCUUGAAUGUGGCAGUGGAUAUCAAUCUUUACUAAUUCACAAUCUGCCUGCAUUAGUGAAGAGAGGAUAAAUGGCACAAGAAAUAUGAAGGUGGUCAUCAGAGUUUUAGUCUGACAUAAUAAACCAAAGUUGCCUCCUGAAACAAAACGAAUUAAUAAAUAUACAAAAACAGGCCAAAUUAUGCUCAGUAUUACCAGAGCUGCUGGAUCUUCAGAAGCCUUGUAUUUUUCAUUUUGAAAAACGUGAUUUUUACAUUCCUCUCUAAAAUAUCAAAACCUAUAUAUUACACACUUAAACUGCUAAGUUUCAUCACAUUGUCACCUUCAACAGCAUUCGGCUAGGUGAAAUCCAUCACUUGGGCAUAGGUCAAUGAGCAAAUUAUACGUUUAAAAAUUUCAAGCGAGCAAUGUGGAAAUCACGGUAUCUAUAAAGGAGUUUCAUGUGUUUUAGCCUAGUGGAGCAUAUUGAUUGUAUUGAAGCAAAAGUUGUAAUAACAAUAAAUGUUACUUCUAACGACUGCAUCACGAAGUCGACUAUAUACGAAAGUAAGACAUGCAAUCAAGCAGCAUAUCAAAGAUUACCUGUUUAUAUAACCGAACUAACUUGCUCUUCUUCGGUGUAGAGAAUAAUACUUUGGGAGUCCGAUCUAAAGCGAUAAAAGGAUCCUGCCCAUAAAUCCGGAAUAUGGGCCUGCACCCGCCCUCCCCGUUAAAGCCUGGAAUAUUCCUAAGUAUCACACAGUCUAAAGUAAGUGCCCUGUCAAGAGGGGGCCACUCCGACCCGACAUUCCUUCUCGAAAUAUACUGCAAAUAUCUCAACUGCGAAGGCAAAGGAUUCAAUGGCGACAACAGCUGAAGUAACUCGCGGGGGGCUUGCUUAUAGAUCAUAUCCAAAGUCUUCUGCUCUCCUAAAUACUGUUUUCUAUAAACUAAAAGUGCUGCUAACAUGAAAGCUAGAACAGGCCAGCCGCCUCUCUCGCAGUGCAUAAGUAAGAGAUUUUGCUGGCCUAAAGAAAGCCAGCUCUCUCCUGAUCUUAAACAAUGAUGGAUCAUCUCCAUAGUGAGUAAAGGGCACCCCUCAUAAUGUCGGGGAUAGUCGAUGACGGUCAUAUCAUACUCUGAUAGUAUGCCCGCCGUUUGGCUCUGAUUCUCGCCCUCGCGAAAGUUGAACACCAUGAAUGAGGCGUCGGGAAAAUGGUCGCGAAGUUGAACAACAAUGCCUCCCAUGUAGACCUUGUAUUCAUCGUCUUCUAACACAUCAGUCGUAAAGCAGCAAUCGAAUACUGCAAAUAAAUAGGUAUGAGCCGACUAAUCCGAUAUAGAGAAACUAAAAUGGAUGGGGACUAAAUUAAGGUAUUAUGGAUAUUUGAAGAUUGAAGAUGCCUAACCAUAUGCAUUAAUCAAUACGUUCUUGCAUAAUGGCCCACAAUUCACUCUUUUGAACAAUCAUCAAUCCCCUUUUUUUUUUUUUUUGGCAAGCUUUAUAUCUUCAGCAAACUCAAUACUACCAACAUUUAGAAUUAAUAUUAUAAAUCGUAAAUGCAGCAUUUUUCUCAGAAAACGAAAAGCUUUCAACAAUGUCACACUCUUACCACGAAAACUAUACAAUCUCAAGUAAUAAAACACCCAAACCAAUGGUAAAAAGGACCAUCCCUUAGUAAUUCCACACUGCAAAGCACAUAAAAAAUGAUAAUUUUACAACUAAAACACCAGAGAACACACGAAGUAACGCGAAAAAACGCUCAAAUCAUCCAAUUAGGAACAAAAACGAAAUGGGUCGAUUGCGAACAAACCAUAAACUCUCUCCGAAAUCUCCAGCAGCCCAUCAGGAGGCUUCCGAUAAAAGAACUUCCGAAACAGCGCCAUCUCGCAGAUCCACCCAAAUCACCCCAAAAUCCCAACAAUUUCGACUCAUCUAAGCCAAAUCCGCCGUGGGAUUCAGCUCAGAACAGCUCCUCUCGUGCCCUAGGAGCUCCAUUAAUAACAGCGGUGGAGAUGUACCCAAUCAAAUAAUACCCGUAGCAGAGAGUGUGGAUCCGGGAACAGGGCAUGGAUUUUGCCGCGGCUUUAAGGAAUCGCAAUGCUCUCCUUUUCCCACUCCCUUCUCUCUCUCUCUCUCUCUCUCUCUCUCUCUCUCUCUUAUUUCUUUUUUGGGAUUAAAAAUUGGAUCUCUUUAGGGAUCCAAUUAAUGGGGAAAAGCUCGAGUUUUAUGUGGGUUUUCUCGUUCGGCAGAGGAGGAGGGUGACGUGUCGAUUUCUUCGUUAUGUAGUAUGAGUUUUUUUAAAAAAAUAUUUUUUUUAAUACUUUUUUAUUGAUUAAUAAUUUGUUCCUAGGAUGCUGAUAUUUGUACCCACCAUUUUUUUUGUCUUUUCCGUGCAUCAUUUUUUUGGUUGUAAAAAUGUAUUUAGACCCCUCCAAUACACUAAAAUCUAAAAAGUACCCCUCCAACUUAGGGUGCUGAUUUUUGUCUUUUACUGUUGCAAUUUUUUUGGGACAAAAUGUACCGAGACAAUUCAACUGAGGGACCUCUUCUGAAAUAGGCCCCUGAACUUUAACUACUUUAAUUUUAUAGUUACGAUUUUUUUUAUUUGAAUUAUCUUAAUAGGCUAAGUUGACAAAUUUUAACAGUAAUUUAUUAUUAGUUAUUAGAGAAUUAUGUUACUAGAAAAAGUUAAAGUUGAGGAUCCGUUCCAAAUUGUGCUAUAGUUGAGGGUUCUCCGUGCAUGUUUGCCUGUUUCACUUGAUGGGCAUGUUCUACAUUAGCUAGUUAGCUAGAAUCAUUAAGAUUGGAUUGGAUUGGAGUCUCCUACACACCACACUUAAUUAUUUUUUGUCAUUAUUAUUAUUAUUAUUAUUAUUAUUAUUAUUAUGUAAUCUAACUAAUUGCUUGAAACAAAUCAUGCAAGAGGGAUAGGGAUACUCAAUAGUAACAUGGCUUGUUAUGAUAAGGAUUGGUGAAAAAAAGCUAUUAUGGGAAUGUUUGGUGAAUUAGCAACAUAUUUGUUCGUCUAUACGUAAGUUUUUUUUUUAUUGAAAAUGACACUCAGUUUAACUAAAGUUAAUGUAUUUAUUGAAAAUGACAUUCAAUUUAACUAAAGUUUUUUUUUUUUUGUUUUUUUCACCGUUGAUAGCUUUAGAACUGUUAUCAUUCUAUUUUGGUUGUGUGUUUUACUAGCUAUUUUCACAAUAAUAUCUAGGAUAAUGAAAAAAAAGGCUGUAGUGUUUUGAAAAAGUAGAAUUACAAACAAAUUUAAUUCAUGAUGAAUUAUACAUUAGAAGUGAAUAUUUACGACUAAAAAUAACUUUUUGUAGUGUAACAAAUAUGAUUUGAGAGACUCCAAUCUAUUUCGAGAUGCGCCAAAGCAAACGUGUGACUAGAUUUUAUAAGGGCUGUUGAGCCAAUAGUGGAUUAUAAAUACAUAAAAGCAAUAGAAUGAGUUGGGAAAUUGAUGUUAUGGUGGAUAGUUUUAGCAAUGUAAAUGUUUGCGAGCUGCGAGAAUUUGAGAUUAUUGAAUCUGGUUAAGUCAAACAAUUAUACUGGGAUUGAGCCAUACCGUAAAACCAAGUUACAAUUCAAAUAAUCAUGGUCCAAUUUUAUAACUCACAACGCUCGGCAUCCUUAAUUUGGCAAAUUAUCUGGUUCUUUAAAUAGUAUUUUUUUCAUCUUAUUCUAUCAAAUUCACUUUAAAGUGUCAUAAGUUAAAAGUCAACUAUUCUGCCUUUGUUUGAGUAAGAAAUUUUUAGAUGAAAACUUAAUUGCAGUUUCGUGGUGUUCUUUUAUCUCAAUUCAAAACCAACCGAGCUAGAUUUAGAGAUUUAAAAAAAAAUAAAAUAAAAUAUGUAAUUUAAAAUUUAAAAUUUAAAAUCGAAAUAGAAUGUGCCAAAAAAUAGAAAUAGAAUGUGCCAAGAUUUUGAUGAUCCCAACUGCAUACGGAUAAGAGACGGGUUGAGGAUCUUCGGGCUUCAGGACAAAAUCUAGUCUUCGUAGGCGUGAGUCACGUGAGUUUGACACUCAAUUUCAGCAAUAAAGACACAAUUAAUUAAAUAUAAUAAAUAAUAAAUAGGUAGAUCAUUUUAAAUCAACAAUUUAAUAUUUUAAAACUUUAAGUUGGCUAUCCAACUGUUCAAUUUAUUUGAUUUAAAUUAAUCAAUAAUAUUUUGACUUUACAAUUUAAAUUAAUUAUUUGCAUUGAUAUAUUUAUUUAUUUUGAGAAUAAGCUUUGAUAUAUUUAUAGUUUAAAAUAUUACAUAAAGUAUAUGAAUUAAAUAUAUACUAAUAAUAGACGUCACAUUCUAAUUUUAUAAUUUUAAAUAUUAUUUACUGACUCAAAUCAAACAGAUUAAAAGGUUGUAUGAUAAAAUUAAAAUUUUAAAAAAAUUACAUAGCAAAUCAAAUGGUCCAUAAUUAAGUGAGAAUAUUUUGUCGGCAGAAAUUGCUGUGAACGAGUAUUAGAGAAAUUAUUCAGAUGAACCGUACAAACACAAUUUAAUUAAAUAAUAAUUUUAAUAACCUUAUCAAAAAUAACAAAUUAUAUUUUAAAUUGUCGAGGACGUAAUAGUACUUUCCCCCCAAUAAUAUUCGAGGCGCCUAAAAAAAUUAAUUAAUUCCGCUAUUUAUUUUGGGCCGUAUCCGGAUCCUACUUGGUGGGUCCCACAGGAUUCAACCAUUUGAAAUUCUCUCUCAUUCCCUCCGUAGACCACUUCAUGUCCUACGCCACUCGUACACACGCAUCUGUACACCUCCCAUCUUUCCACCGUCCAUCCAAUCAAAAGUAAAUCCGUACCGUCCGUAUUAUACGACAUUGGACGGUGAUGCGGGAGGUAGGGGUACACCGGGUGCAGGGAAUAUCGGGUUUGGUAUUCGGCUCUCUCGCGACUCGUCGCUUUCGAAGCUCGCCACCAUUUACUCCGUCGAUCUCUCUCGUCGCUUUCUCUCUCCUCCCCCAAAUCCCGCUCUCACGUAACGAAUCCACCCCACUCUCUCUCUCUCUCUCUCUCUCUCUCUCACACACACACACACACUAAGCGAUCAUGGAGGAUUCGACGAGGGAGGCGAGGAUCGGAGAAGCGGAGGUCGAGGGGAAGAGGCGGAUGGUGGAUUACCUUAACGAGGACGACGACGGCGAGGAGAUCGACGCAGUUCGGAAGGGGACGAAGGCCCCUUUAAUGUCGUGUUCUUGUUCGUCUUCUUCGAUCUCUUCCCGAAGCCCUCGGACUCUGCUCUCAAAGUGGUUGCUUCGAACCUCGAAGAGGGGCGGGGGGAGUGGCGGUGGGAUGGGGGGGUCGGGGUUGGGUCGAUUGGUGAGGUUCUCCAGGUUUUAUGGUGGCAAGAGGAGGUCUGAGGAGAGUAGUGGGAAGCUCACCGUGUCUUCAGGUAUGUUAGGGUUUCGAUUCAAUCCCCGCUUGUUUUGUUCGUUUGAGUCUUUCUUUUUAUUUUAUUGUGUUUUUAUGCUGUUGUUGAUAGAAAAAAAAAAAUCACCUUCUUUGAUAUAAUUCUUUUGUGGUACAUGUAUAUGUUAUGCAGUAAUAGCAGCAGCUCUUAUUGGUUUCAUGUCGUUGCUUUUCGUUUUAUAUAAUCUGUGGUGUUGAUAAAUGUCUAAUUUUUGUUUUUUAUUCAUAUCGAGGCGCAGUUUAUGGUCAUUUAUACUCUGCUGAUAUGCUAAAACAAGUCAAUUACAUUCAUUUCCCUAUGUUUUUUAAAAGGGAAUUCAUUUUAGACUCUACGUUUUUGGCAUUUGUUUUGAAUAUUUGUGUUUUGCAAGAACUCAAAUGCUCUUAAAACUUUUCUUUCCAGGGUUGAGGUCCGAAGAUGCAUCCUUUAACCUCGGUAUAGGGCUUGGUUUGGCACUCCUCCUAGCUAAAACAGCAAGUGAAUUUAAUAAAAUGUCGGAAGUUCGGACGCAAAUGGAGAUGCUGCUUAAACAGAUUAAAGAUGAGUUUGGGAAGAAAGAUGUGAUCAGUGGCCUAUCUGGGUCAAGCAACAGUCCUUCGUCUGCUACAUUAGAUUUCUCUUGAAAUGCAAUUAGAGAAGAUACUAUCGCUUCGCAGUACAAUGGAUAUUUAUCACAUCAGGGAGGGCUGAGAUUUAUAAAGGAAUCUGGUAGUCGUGAGGUAGUCGGCUGUGAAAGCUCCUUGAAGAUGAAUAAACUUGAAGCAGAACUUGAAGUCGAACUAGAGCGUCUACAGCUCAACAUGGAGGGAGAAAAUACAUUAUUAUUUCCAGAACAACAUAGAACAGAGGUAUCCUUCUCACAAAGAUGUUUGUUUUCCAUUCUCGGAACUGAUUGAACUAUUUAAUUAUGUUAUCUUUUCCCUGUAUCCUUGCUAUAUACUUGAAAUAAAUACUAAAAUAUAACAUAAUUUUUUCUGCCAUGUUUUAACUAAUCUUCUAUUAUCAUUUGCUUGAUCAUAUCAGUCUCCAGAAUUUGUCCUAUUGAUUUUAUGUGUAGCUGUUGUGUUUGCCAGAAUAAACUCUGUUAGGUCAGUGCAUUUUCUAAUUAAAUUUUCUUGCAGUACUAAUUGUAUCCACUUCCUCAAACCAAUUUUCUGUCUCGCGCUCAAUGUUUGGGGACAUCCGAAGACAUCGUUUGCAUUUCACCUCAGACAUUAACCUUGCCUUUAUUUUCUUUCUCAGAAACUCGUUACAGUUUGUUGUUUUGUGUACUUCAGUAAAUACUCCUGUUAAAAAGAAAAUGCUCAUAGCACUUACAGUUUGUCUAUUUCUUUUUGCGCCAAACAGGAGGAGUCAAUUGAUUCAGUUAGAAUCUGAUCAAAGUGUAGAUUUUUCUUUUACUUACCUAUACCUUUAAAUUUUUAUACUUCUGGAUAAUUUGAGUAAAAUCUUAUGCAUUUCACGUAAUGAUACUUGGUUUCCGGCGGUAACAAUUGAUUAAUCCAAUGUUGUAUUAUCAUAUAUAUUGUCUGUCAUUGUAGUUUGUUUCCAACCAAAAUUUGGUUUUCUUUAUGUUUUACUUUGUUUUCCAUCAAAUCUUUAUGAAUUCAAAUGUCGUAAGAAAAGGAUAAAAGAUAACAAAAAUAUAUAGAAGUUACUACCUACAAGAUUAGUUAUUUGUUUUUUGUUUGUUCGAUCAAUUGAAAUAAAAGAGGAUGACUGAUCUUUCUCUUCAUUUGUAUCAUUAUUUUUUUGAGCGAAUUGAAGUUAUCCAGUGACUGCACCAGUUCUUCUAAAAGCUUCACUGGAUAUGUGGAGGAAUUUGAUGAGGGUGAGGAAGAAGACAACGGUCAAUACUCUGGAGUUUCAGCGAUUGAGCUGGAGAGGAAGCUCCAUGAGCUUCUACAUACAAGACAGCAAGAGCGGAUAGCGGAGUUGGAAUCCACACUUAAAUGCGUUGAGAGAAAGCUUGUUGAGAAAGAAAUCGAGGCACGUCGGUGGAAGGAUGCUGCAAGGGUUGCAUCACAGAAUAGGGACAAAACUUUGGUAAGUAUCGAAAUAAAAAAAAGGGGGUAUAACAUAUUAACUUUGAACUACAAACCAUUUUGAAAUGGGUACCUCAAUUUUAAACUAUUGCAUCACCUUUCCAUUCCUUUUGUCAAGUUUUGCUAGAAGUUUACCUUUUAAGUCAAAUAGUUCUUUUAUUAUUCAGUUAAGUAACUGAGCAUUUCUCUAGGUCAAGAAUAUUGAGUCGAAAAUAGAUAAAUAAAUCAAACGUACUUAAUAUUGGGCAGUAAUAUCAAACUUUUAAAAUCAAGACAUUUGUUUAAAAGUAUCUUUGAAACAUUUUUUUUCCCUUGGUUCGCUUGGGCUGCUUCUCUGUUACUGAUGAGUAGCAACUAGAAGUUUGGCAAACAAAAAAAAGUCUAAAGCUUGGGCAAGAAUCUGUAAAGGCACUCACUCAUUUGAUAUCAUUUAUGAUAACUGUGUGUUGCUUUUCAGGUGAAGUCAUGUGAAAUAUAGUAAAGGAUGAUAUAGCUUCCCACAUAAAUUCUUUGAGGCUGAAAAAGGCUGAAUAUAGGGAAACUGUGAUUGAAAUCGGCAAAAUUGUUAUGGAAGCCUGUAGCGCAAUCGCGAGAGGAUCGGUCUCAGGUUGGAGAUACUGAAGAGAGAGGAAACAUGUUUGGAAUGAUUGAAUUGGAAACUUGCAGGGAAUUGAUGGAAUACGAUAAAAUAUCUGUAAAUAAAAGUUGCAGAUAAGUGAGUAUAUGUGCAUGGUUUUGGAUCACACAUAGUAACAUCUCAGAACUGGAUUCAUAUUAAUAGGCGAGGGCAUGUGAUCAUCUUGCAUUUCUUGUACUGUUUUGGUUUAUUGUGGUGUAAUAUAGUAACUGUUGGUUUUAUAGUGCAAAUUGUUUAAAGAUCAAUGUGGUCUUAUGCUCCUGAAUCAAGUACAGCUUGAGAUUUGUGUCUAAUUGCUGAACAAUUAAUUGAAGCUGCACCUCUCUGCAUAAAAUUGGAUUGGCCUCAGCAUGGAGAUCUCUUAGUUGUGCUGUAAUUGUUGGGCUAAGCUUGAGUUUAAGAUAUAUUGACUUGGUUUAUAUUAUAUUUAUAAGUGGAUUAAGAACUAUGAGUUUUUGUUUGGCUUGGCUUCUGCUUUUGACCCUUCUACCACGGAGAUACGGCACAAAAAUAAACAAGCGAAAUUUCUCCGGAGUCCUAUUGGGAUGCUUCUAAUAGCAUUAAGUACUUCGUACUAUCCAAAUUUUUACAGUUAAAUUUAUUUAUUAUUUUUAUUUAUUAAAUUAUACUAUUCAAUCAAUAAAUCGUUCAAGCAGAAAGAAUAACUAUUGUUGUAAUCGUAUAUUUUUUUAUUUAAAGAUUGAAAAUUUAAUAGUAUCAAUAACCUACCUGGUGCUGUUAGAAAUAUUUUAGCCUAAUUCAAUAUUUUGGCUAUAAAUAUUUAAUUUUUAUUACACUACAUCUAGCUAAGGUGUUUAUUUAUCUUUAUUUAUCAAAUCUCUAAUUAUUAAAUAAGUCUAAUCCACACGUCAAUACUUUAUUUCUAUAUAUACUGCAUAUUUCGAGAGCACGGUCAAGCCAAUCAUUCACUGCCACGUCGUCAAACGUCCCACGUUUCGCCGCCCCACUGGUUCAUAACCCUUUCAAUGACGUACCCCCCUUCAUCGAAAUUAUUAUAAAGUGAACCCCCCAAAAAAAAAAAACUUGACUAUAGACCAGCGUCGCAUAGACCCUCCGUAUGCGACGAAGUCCCCAAAGAGAGAGAGAGAGAGAGAGAGAGGGAGAGACGGAGAGGUGUAGCUUUAGCUUACGCUCACCGGCCCAGUGCGUGCACGCGCCAAUCUCACCGCUCUGGAGAGCCGAGCAACGAACGGCGCCGCCGUGGCUCCGCCGGGCCCCGAGGGGCUCUCUCGCCGGAAGGUCCCCUCCUCCUCCGCCGAAACCCUAAACCUAGCCCGCGACCGAAACCCUAGCCGCCGCUCCCGCCGCCGCUCCGACCCCGAUAUCCCCUUCUGGCAAAGCUACUGGUUCCUCGCGCUCCUCCUCCUCGUGGCCUUCGGCUUCCUCGCCAUCUCCGUCUCCCUCUUCCUCGGCCUCGACCUCCCCGACUCCUCCCCCUCCCCUGACCCUGACUCCGCCGUCCCCGACGCCGAUGAGGGCGUCGAGGUGAGCCUCUGCAAAUCGCUUCGAUUUAUAUUGCACGUCUCGAUCUCUUCGUUCUCUGAUUUUAUGAUAUGAUUGUGUUUUUGUCAUCUUUUUUUGGGGGAGGGUUUCAGAUUACGUAUGGAUCCGUGAUCAAGUUGAUGCACGAGAGGACCAAAUUUCGAUUGCAUUCGCACGAGGUGCCCUACGGAUCGGGCAGCGGACAACAGUCGGUUACCGGAUUUCCCAAUGUUGAUGACUCUAACAGCUACUGGGUAUGUGAUCGGAUUAGAUUCAUUGCAGCUUGAUUUUAAUUUGUUUUAGAAUUGAUUUGUUUUGCUUCAUUUUGUGAUUGAUCGGUGAAUCGGUAUAAUGCUAGUUAAUUGGAUCUAAUUCGAUUUUAUGAUUUUGAACUACAAUGGCUGAGAAUAACUUUGUAUUAAAUUUGUCUUUGAUAAUCUCCCCUCUUGCUUGUUUUUACUAUUAAUGAGAAUUCAGGCAUAAAAAAAUCAAGUGUUAGCAUAGUGUUUGCGAGCACCAAAACAGUUUGCUUGUGAAGUUGAAUGAUAUGGUUUCCAACGUUCUGGACUUCUGAAUGUUUGAUUGUCUAUAUUGCGGCAUUAAACUUGUCACAGUAGGGCUGGCGAUGUACAUAUAAUCGUGCACGUUUGGCUUACUACUUAGUAGUGAUGUAAUGUGUUUAGUAGAUGUGUUUAGUAGUGAUGUAAUGUGCACGUUUGGUUUAUGUGUAAUGAUGCUUUUAGGGGCAAAUUUUGUAUGUGAUUCUAUAUAGAUGGUUGUACUCUUGAUUUAAAUAUAAAAACAUCUCAAAAAUGUGGUAAUAGUGAAGCUUGAUGAUUUUGUAGCAUCUUGCUACCGUAAAGCCUGGAACCCUUCCUUUUGCAGUUGGACACUUUAUGAAUGCAAUUAAUGCACUUAGUUUAUUGGCACGGGUCAAUGACAUCGUAAGUUGAAAUGUAGAUACACCGAAUGAUACUGAGCUUGAGUCCAAAAGAUAGCUUAAUCUAUUCUUCUGCACUUGAUGGUCUAAUUCCUUGCUUAUGUUAUGGAUAGUGGCAAACGGCAUUCAAUGCAUAUCGAAUAAGCAGCCCUUCAGUGAGAUUUCUUAAUAAGAAUAAAGAAAUAAGUGUGAGGAUUUCAUCCAUCCCAACCUUUGACUGCCAAGGCUUGACAUGAAGACAGGAUAACAUAUCUUUUCAUGCAAUUUGUUUUGCAAGUUGGUGUUUCUUUCUGUGCCAUGAAUUAUAGUUUUUUUGGCAUGCCUCUGCGUGUUAUAAUGUCUUACUGGAUGCUAAGCAGUUUUUUUUUUUUUUCAUUUAGCAUUUAUACAUUCAUUCAUUUCUUAUAUGAAUAUUGUUAAUUAUGCAGAUUGUGAGGCCUCGACCUGAUUCAUCUGCAAAACAAGGUGAUCCAAUACCAAACGGAACAAUUAUAAGGUUACAACACAUGAGGACUCGAAAAUGGCUUCAUAGCCACUUGCAUCCAUCCCCUAUAACCGGCAACCUGGAGGUUAGUACUGUUAUUCUUCUCGUGUGGGAAAAUCUAGUUAUAAUUCUGAUGUUCCACUUCCUACAUUGUGUGAACCAGUCAUGCUUACAGUUCAUCAGAUAAAUCAGUAUGAAUAGGUAGCAACUAACGAUCUACCAAGUAUUAAAAUUCAAGCUACUUUCUUAUCUGCACGUGAAAGAUCAGUGAAAGUUACACAUCUUGUGCAUUUGGCGGUCUCGUUGGAUUCAAAAGAGAAGUCUUGUUAGUGCCAAAGUUUGAAUUGACUGAUGUCUCCUCGGUUGGUGUAUCACUCUAUUUUGCUAACAAUUAUUAAGUACGCAAUCAUAUUUGAAAGCUAUAUGUCUUUUGUGAGGAAAGCACAUUUUACUGAUGUUUUGCAGGGAAUGAACUUGCUAUAUAGAUUCCCUUAGGUAAAGUGUUGUCAUAGUGCUUUUAGAAUCCAAUAAAAGUUUAUCCGAUUCUCAUCUUUAAAGACUCUGGAAACGCAUUUGGGUUACUAUCAUGGAAAAGGAGACUAUGGUUGCAGUGGAUAAAUUGCACAAAUUGAAAGUUGAUUUUUAUUAUGCAAAUUACUUGCAAGCAGCAUGUAUUGUCCCAUCUCGGUGGUCUUCUGUCGUUGAAUGCAAAAGAACUACUCUUAAGAAAGUUAUGUGCACUCAUAACUUAACGCGGCAUACCUAAGGUCCGCUCAUAAGUUUAUGUGCUCUUAGUAAAGUGUUGGGAGGAUUAGAGAAAUAACUAUGAAUUGAGGAACAUAUUUUGGUAAUUUUCUUUCAUGCUGGUGAAGUCAUAACUUUUAACUGUGAUUAUUCAGUAUCUUCAAUUAGCUGCUAAAUAUGUUUUUAUUUCUUCUCAGGUCAGCUGCUUUGGAGGUGAUAGUCAGUCAGAUACUGGAGAUUUUUGGCAGUAAGGAUCUAUUUGUCCAAGAAAUAUUUGAGAUGAUGAAAAAACGAAUCCUUCAUUCUAACUAUUUGCCAUUCUCCCCUUUCUCAGGCUUGAGAUAGUGGGCGCUAGGAAAAUAUGGAGACAAGACCAAAGAAUAAGACUUCGCCACAUUGAUACCGGUGGUUAUCUCCACACUCAUAAUAAGAAAUACACGCGCAUAGCAGGAGGGCAGCAAGAGGUAAGGCAAAUAUAAAAAGCAUUCUAGUGUAAAGAUUUUCGACUGUUUAUAUAAAGAUUUCUUUGCAAAAUUGUAGGACUAUUUGGGCAAAAAUAUACCAGACUCCUGAAUUCUAGUGCGAUUAUAGAUCAGUGCAUGAACUCUAAAGUUGACUAAAACUACACGAAUGAUCUGCCAUUGUUACAACUACCUGAACAUCUAAUUCCGAUAAAUUUCUGUAUCCGCCGUUAGAAUGUGAUUGUCACAUGGGGUUAAAUGUUUGGGUCUGAGGUCUCUUCGAUUAGUAUUUGUGUAACUUGACUUCCAUGUAACUGAUGGUUGUUGGUUGAAACAUGCAAAUUGUAUAUGUUUUUAUUCCUCCCCCCCCCCCCAAUUUUAGAGUUCACUUAGUGAUCUCUUAUUGGAAUUUUUUUUUUAAAUUUUUUUGGGAGGUCAACUAACAAAGAGUAAUUAAUUCUUGUCAAUCUUAUAUUUUCUGCUUUUGCAGGUUUGUGGUGUUGGUGACAAGCUGCCCGACAACGUAUGGCUGGCGGCUGAAGGCGUCUAUCUUCCGGCGAAUGGAAAUAAGUAAAUUGCUCCGUCUUGUCGCAAAGUACAUACUGUUGAUUUGGUGGGACAACCAAACUCCGCUGUAGAGGGUUUUUGCAUCAGAUCGAUCAUACGGUGUACCAACUUUGGAGUCCUUUUCGCGCAGUUCUUUUGGGAGUAGCAAAUUAAGAGCUCUUUAAUAUAUAUAUAUAGUUUCCUACGCUAAUUUGGGCCUCAAUUUUUUUCCCCCCUUCUCUCUUUAGAUGUAAUGAGAUACUGUGACAUCUAUACAUCUCGAUAGACACCGAAACUAAUGCUAGUGUGUUAGUUCCAAUAUCCAUAUCCUGGCACAUGUCUACCUUUUGAACUGGUUGAUUGCUCAAUUCUUGUAGACACUUUCCUUUUUCUUUUCUCUUUCAUAUGCAUAAUAUAUAUAUAUCUUUUAUAAUUGUAUACAAUGUAAUCAAAUCUAUUCUAGAUCAUUGCGAGGGAUGAACAGCUUGGGAAAUAUUGAAAAAUGCCAUUCAUACACUCCCUUUGGGGCAUAAAUUAUACAUCCCAUCCAUUUUUAUGUGUAUGAUUGCUUUUUUCAAAAUUGAUUGCCUUGUGUGACAUAGGUUUGUGCGCAUGAAAGCUGGUUUUGAAUAGCGGGUGCACAAACUGGAGUAUAAACUCCCAACCUCUUUAAAUCUCCUCAGAACAACAAUUAAUCAAUUGUACUAAACAAUACAAUUUUGUAGUGAAAAAAUAUGAAAGAUUGGAAGAACUUUAAAUUCUUUCUUUUUUGGAGCACUCAAAAUAUAAAAAAAAUGCUUUAGCUAUCACAUUACCAAAAUCAUUGUACUUUUUACAAAUCAUUCGUUCUACCGACAAAUUUUAUUUUUUAACAAUUUUUAAGAGGGUCGGAACUGUUAAGGGGCAGGAGCUGGGCCCGUAUUAUCGGGUCUUCUUACAGGCCCAAUAAAGAAUCUCGGCCUUCCAACACGUGAAAUAUUUUUACAUUUUAUAUAUAUAUUUUUUAAAAGGCAAAUUGCUUAUACAACUUGAAAAGUGUUACACUUUUGUAUUUAUUCCUUCAAAUUAAAAGUAAAAAGUUGUAAAUUCUUUCAAAUAUAUCACCGAGAGUUAAAUUUAUCUUGUUAUUUUUGUGAAAUUACCAUUUUAUUCUUUCAAAUACACUUUUAUAUUAUAAUAGAAAUUUACCUUAUGUUUAAUUCGAGAUGAUUUAACGAAAAUUAAUAGAAAACGUAUUUUUAAAAAUAAAAAAUAAAAAAUAAUAUAUUUAAAAUAAAAAAUAAAAAUAAAUAAAAUAUUUCAGAAAUUUUAAGGAAUAGUGAUUUUGAAAGAUAUAUAUAGUAAAUCAUCCCUUAGGAAAAAAGGAAAAAAAAAGGAAUCGCUUUUAUUUCCACCACCUCGCCAUUUUCAAGCGAAUCGCAGGGCUUCGUUCUCUUCGUCGCUUGCGAUCCCACGCUCGUCUCGCUUAAUCCCCUGGAUCAUAUCCAAUUUCCAGGGAAAUGGUAAUCUCUCUCUUUUUUUUUUUUCUCGAUUUGAUUUCGUUCUCAAUUCCUUAGAUCUGGUUCACAGUUGAAUUGAUUCUCGUGGAUUUGUUAGAUCCGAAACAUCGGAUUUGAUUCUUGUUUACUGGUGACUCUUCUCUGAGGGUUUCGUUUAAAACCCCUUCCUCAAGAGCAAUCGAUCAAUUGCUAGAUAUACGAGAAGCCCCUUUUUUGAGAUAAUUUAGUUAAUUUAGCACAUGAGGUGUGUUUGAUGCUUAACUUUCAUCGUUUAAGCUUAGUUCUUAGUUCAUAGCUGUGGUUCUCGUGCUUUAAAAAAAAAAACACAAAACAAAAAAAAGGAGAAUUUUGUGAUGCGGUUGAAAGCAAGGCAUGCAAAAGCACAUAUUUCUGAGUAUUUAUAUACUACUUAGGAAUGAUUCUCCAUAGGUUUUGAGAAUGAUAUUUGAUUAUUAGAAUCAAGUGGAUUCAUAUUUUGAGAUCUGCAUGUGGUAAUCUCCAUGUACUUAGAGUUAUCGCGCACCGUUUUAGCGAGACAGAUAUAACGAUCCGAGUUUUUCUUAAGAGAGAUAGAGAGAGACCAUAACAAAUAUUGCAUAAGGAAUCAACUAUGUGAUGUCCCUCUAUAUUUAUAAACGAUUUUUUUUUUUUAAUUGCUCGGUGAAAAUUGAUUGAGGAAUGAAUUUAUUAUACUUUGAUGUAGGCAGAACAAGAAAAUUCUUGCACGUUCCUUAUACUUAUUCAGAUUGGCACUAUAUCUAUUAUUAUUUUUGAAAUCUUAAAUAGUUGUGGCAACACUUGCAGUGUCUUUGAAUCACAUAAUAUGCGCAUUUUGUUAAUCUGUUCAUUUUAGUAGUUAAUCGAUCAUUGCCAUUAAAACUAUGUUUAAAUGCGUGUUUGUCAUAUGAAUAUCGAGGCCUUCAUUAACCAAUUUGGUUUUGAUAAGCUGCAUUUCCGGUUAUUGGUUCUUCAUUGAGGUGAAACAAUAUUGAAAGUAAUAGUGCAAAUGCCAGGCUAAAGAAAAUCUAUCUUUACAUCUUGAGUUCUUCUUCAAAAUGUUCCAUGUGAUCUUUCUAUCAUGUUUAUGUGAAAAUUUUAUAUCGAUUCACAUGUUCUAUUUGCAGGUCUAUCACUCUAGCUUUGUUGAAGAAGAUGGUAUCACCAAAGCUUGUGGCUGCCCUUUGCUUCCAUUAAAAAGCCACAUUAAGGGUCCCGCUCCAGCUUCAAAUCCAGGUCUCAUAUCUUAUUUCUCUACGAUCUAUUCCAAAUAAACAAAACUCGUCUUAUCGAUGAUUGGCGUUUACAUUUUUCCAGGCAAAAUCGACAUUGUUGACGAGGCAAUAACGUUCUUUAGGGCGAACGUCUUCUUCAGAAACUUCGAUAUUAAGAGCCCAGCAGACAAAUUACUCAUUUACUUGACAUUUUACAUUAAUGUGGCACUGAAAAGGCUGGAGGGUUGCAGAACACUAGCUGUUGGGACAAAGGCAAUUAUCAAUUUGGGGCUAGAGAAGGUCCCUGUGCCCGGCGACCUGGGGUUUCCUUUUCCAGGCCUUUUUGCCCUUCCUCAAUCUCAGGAUGAAGCAGGUAUAUUGGCAUUACUGGGUGCUUGUUUUCACCCGGCUUCUAAGGAGCUUGUCUGAAAAACUGUAGCCAAGUAUUUGGCAAAUUUAACAUUUGGAGCUUCUGCUGUGGCUCGAAGCUGAAAUGAGCUUCUGAAACCCAAAGCAAAAGCUCCAACUUAAAGUUUCUGCUUUUUCGUGAGAAGCUUUUUGCAGCGCUCGGGGGACAUCGAUCUACUCGGGCAUCACGUCUAUAGAAGCUCUACUGAGGCCAUGCAUGACCUUAAGAUGUAGAAGCUAUGCGAAUAGCAAAUAGAAGCUCCAAUUCGAACCUUCCUUCUAACUCCAUUAGGAAGUUGAGGUUAUUUUUGAAGGUUGUUUGUGCUUCUUCGUACUGCACUUCUUUGGAGGCUCUGAUAAAAAGUUGUGUGUUCAUGUCUUUUCCUUAGAACAAUAAUAUUAGUUGCUAAGACUAUUUCUGGAUCAAUCCCUAUCAGAUCGAUAUUUGGGGUAGCAUUAAUCAUCUUCUGUUGCUGGACUGCAGAGUUAUUCAGGAAUUAUCUGAAGCAGAUAAGGGAGGAAACAAGCGGAAGAUUGCUAAGCUGCGCAUAUAGGCCUAACGGCACUCCAAAUAAGUGGUGGUUGGCUUUUGCAAAGAGGAAGUUCAUGAACAUUAUCAUUCCCUAGGGUUGGAGCUCUUCAGGAUACAGAUUUUUCCUUUUCUUUUUUUUUUCUUUUAACUUUUUCAGUCAUUGUGAAAGCUGUAAUGAUCAGUUAAGCUAGAAACGUGGGAUUGUUAUACCUGUAAAAUUGGUGUAUACUGAGAAAACUGGAAAUUUCGUCUCUUAUAGCGAUUUGAGUUGGUCUUUAUGUUUCUUUGUAACAUUUUUGUGUAACAAUUGCCGCUUUUAUCUAUCUGUUUUUUGAUAUUAUCUUUGGUUUUGUUCAGGAUUUUGCUUCAACAUCUUUCGAUAUAUGCAUGAAAAAGCAAGAUCAGUGGAUAUAAAGCAUGAAGUCUACAGUUGCAGUAGUUUUGUUGCAGCAGGGCACAUUCGCUUCAGGUGAAUGUAAAUGAGUUGUUUGGUGGACCCGGUCCAGGAAUGCAUUCUUUAGACAAGGCGUGGGGAAACGAACGCCGACUAAAUAAAUAAAUAAAUAAAAUUCAACCUUUUUAUAUACCCCAACCCUGUAUUUAAUAUCUUUCUUUCUUUCCCCUCGUCGUCUUCUUCUUCUCCACCCCACCCCCGAUCGCUCGAUCUCCGAAACCCUAAUCAAAGAUCACCACCACCACCCACACCCCAAGGUCCAACGCGGAUCUAGGGUUUCACCUCUGCUUCAGGAUAGGGUUUCUCGCAUGCCCCUCCUCUUCUUUGCCUUCUCCUCCGAUCCCUCCCAUCCAUGGCUUCCUCGAUCCCUGCGGACGGCGGCGACGGCGACGGCGACGGUGGCGGCGGGGUGGAGAUCCGGGAGGUGUGGGCGGAGAACCUGGAGGCGGAGUUCGCGGUGAUCCGGUCCAUCGUCGACGAGUACCCCUUCAUCGCCCUGGACACGGAGUACCCCGGCGUCGCCUUCCGCGUGCUCUCCUGCCGCGACAGCUACCAGUGGCGGAACUACGACAACCUCGCCGCCAACGUCGACGUCCUCCACCUCAUCCAGGUCGGGCUCACCUUCUCCGACGCCCUCGGCCGCCUCCCCUGCCUCCCCCGCCCCUGCCUCUGGCAAUUCAACUUCCGCGAGUUCGACCCCGAGGCCCAUCCCUGCGCCCCGGACUCCAUCGCCCUCCUCCGCGCCGCCGGCAUCGACUUCGCCCGCAACCGCGCCCAGGGCGUCAGUGCCGCCCGCUUCGCCGAGCUCCUCAUGACGUCGGGCGCCGUCCUCAACGACUCCGUCACCUGGAUCACCUUCCACGGCUCCUCCGACAUCGCCUACCUCCUCAAGAUCCUAAAGCCCCUCUCGAUGCCCGAAACCAUCCGCGGCUUCUGUAUUCUAGCUAAGAUUUUCUUUCCCAAUCUCUAUGAUGUGAAACACCUCAUGAAGUUCUGCCGCGGCCCUCUCUACGGGGGGCUCAAGAAGCUCGCCGAGAGCCUGGGCGUAGAGCGCAUCGGAAUCAGCCAUCAGGCUGGGUCCGAUAGCCUGGUCACGGCACGGUGCUUUAGGAGGUUGUUAGAUUUGCACCUCAAGGAUAGGGCUGAGCAGUAUGCUGGGAUCUUGUAUGGUCUUAAUGACGAUCCGUCGGUAAGGCUCUACUAAUAAAAAUUUGCAGUUGCGUUGAAACGAGAUAUAGAAAAGUCGUUUACUUUAUCUCUUCGGGGUUCUGAUGCUGGGUCAUCUCUUCGCAUUUCUCUGCAUAUAUGUUAGUUGAUUCUAUAUUUGGCUUUAGUAGUUAACUAGAUCACAUUUUAGAUGGCUGCGGGUUUUACACAGUCUCAACGACGGUAAGAUCAAGAUAGUAUUUCGGAUAAAAUUUGCAAAUUUUCUGAUACUUGGUUAAUUCUUUUGCAUUUCCUCUGCAUAUAUGUUAGUUGCUUCUUUCUUUGGCUUUAGUAGCUAGCUUGGUUAACUAUUUAGAUGGUUGCCUGUUGUUAGUAGCAAGACUCGGAUAGGAUUGGUUCCGUUAAAUAAAUGUUGAACUCCUAGAUUUGCUUAAGUUAUUUAGGCUAUUUGUCAAUCGAAUAAUACUAGGAGAUCCAACGCAACUCAAUUAUGAACGAGUGGCAUUCAGAAUAUUGUUAGAUGAGAGCUCAAAUUCAAAUUCAAAUUCAAAUUCAAAUUCAAGAUGACGGAUCUAAUGUGACAGGAAAAGAGUUCAUCAGAUUUCAGUCGGAUGAGAGCUCAAAUUUAGAUUCAGGAGUUGUUAAAUGAAUUGAUCUUAGUAGAUAUCGCAGGGUUUGUUAAGAUUUCAAAUACCUUUAAAUUUGCCGACUUUAUAUGAUAAGAUGUGGAUAGCAUUUGUUUAAAGACAUUAAUAGAUAUGAAUCUUAUGUAGUUUGUAAUAUUUGUAUAUAGAUUAAAUCAUUAGUAUGUAAUACUGGUAGCGACUUUUAGGUAAGUAACCUGUUGCCCUUAAAUGCUUUUUCUGUCUAUUAGUCUCCUUUAACGAUCUUGGUUUUCUUUUCCUUUCUGAUCAGUUAUCUAGUUCUUCGUUUAUUGUCAGUUAUCAAUAAUCACGUUAUUUCCCAUUUGUAAUGGUUAUGGAUUAUAUAGUUAUUCUUUUGCCGACUGUUCCAUUCUGCUCUAUGUCAAAUCACUGUUAUAUCAACUAGUUUGGCUUGCCAACGCUGUCCUUCUUUAUUGUUUUUUAUAUCUUCUGAGAAGUUUUUGGCGUUUGAGAUGCUUUUCUUGAAGUCUGAUGCUGUUGUUGCUUCUGUGCUUUAAGUGUUGAUUUUGGGGUUAAUCGAAUGGUUGAGAAUCCAGCGCCGUUCAGAAUAUCUGAUCUUGCAUGCUAUUAUCUUUCAAAUCGCCUCAACUAGUUCAUCGGCAUUCUGUUCUUUUAAGAUAACUCUACAUGCUUUUAGCUAUCUUAAAAAUUCAUGUUCUUUGUGGUUUGAGGAACACAAUUUUCUUGAAAAGUUUGGAGGUUGGCCUCUAUUUUUUUUUGUUGUGGUGUAAUGAAGCAGUGAGCCAAGAAUAGUUAAUUAUUGGAUUUUUUUGGGUAAAUAAAGGACUCCAAUAGAGUUAUUAGUGCAUAUUUCUAUUGUAGGAAGAAAAUGCUAUGCUAUUAUGCUUGAGAGAAAAUCUUUGGUAUAAAUUCGUUACCGUUUCUUCUUCACACUAUGCUUAAAAGGAAGAGGACAAGAGGACAUUGACCUGUUGUCAUGAACUUGAAUAAGCAUUCGAUGAGAUCGUGGAAAAGUGGCUAAGGGGAUGCCUGUUACAGUCUUAUAUGGUUGUUAUUUUUGGUGAGAAAGGUUCGGAUAGUUUUCUAGUAAGUCUUACUGUUGGUAUUACAUUAUUAUGAAGAUAUUGUUCUUCCACUUGUGUGAUUUUAUGUAUUGUGUUUCUUCUACAAUCAUCAUUGUAAACACUGAUGCAGAACGAGUUUGUUUCUUUAACACUAUGGAUUACCGUCUCAUGUUUGUUUGCUGUAGUGCAUAAUCUUGAGUUUGACAUUUAAACAUGAUCCAUUUUAUGUUCUUUAACACUGUGGCCAGCGAUGCUUGUUCGAAUUUAGUCCGAUUUAGUGGUUUCAGAAGCGAUCUUGUUUUGAAUCUGGCCCGUUCUUGUUUUACUUGUGUCGGUUUUGGUUGGUUUUUAGCACGUCUUCCUCCGACUUCGGAUUAUCUAGAUUAGUAAAGUUACUAUUCGAUUUGCUAGGUGUGAAUUUUGAAAUCAAUCUUUGAAUUUCAUGUCAGAUAUAUAUGUGGCUCAGUUUUACCUGCGACCAAACUGAAAACCGUCUUAUGAGCCUUCUGCAAAUAAUGAGCCUGCUGCUCAGUAUUAUUAUUCCAUUAUUCUAACUUGCUCCGUGUUCCUGACAAAGGAUGAUUUUUCUAAUCUCUGAAAAAUAAGAUAAGUUAAAUUAUGUUAUCCCACAAUCAAUCAAAAUCAUAAUGCGAGUAAAAUUUCGUUUUAUUUACCCUUCUCUCAUAACAUCAAGCAAAAUCUCCCGCAUUUCAUCAAACACCUCAAGAGGCAGAUGAGCGACCCCUCAAACACCCCAUCAAAAUGCCUCUUUUCCUCCCCGCUCCUCUUCUAAACCCUAAACCCCUCUGCAUCAUCUCCUUCCUCCUCGUCCUCCGCCGCUCCGCCGCGCUCGCCGCCAGGCGCCGACGCGGCCUCUCCUCUACUUCCGCCGCGCCCGCCUCAUCGACUCCCUCCCUCGCCUCCGCCUCCGCCUCCGCUCCUCGUCCUCCUCCCCCACUGAAAAUCCCUCCUCCCUCCUCCUCGACCCCUUCGUCGCCCUCCACGCCUCGCUCGCGCCCUCCGCCGCCUCGCCCGCCUCUUCCGCUCCCUCCCCCUUUCCCUUCGCCCCAUCUCCUCCGCGCCUCGCCUCCCGCCUCGCCCUCUCCCGCCUCCUCCCCGACCUCCUUCCUCCCUCCUCCCUCCUUCCCCCCCCCUCCCCGCUCGACCUCCUCCGCUGGUCUCCGCCGCCUCCGACGCCCCUCCGCCCUUCCGCCUUCUCCUCCUUCCCCCGCCGCCCCCCGCCGAGGCCUUCAACCUCCUCAUCUCCCUCCACGCCCUUCCUCCUCCCACGACCCCUCGCGCCGUCGUCCGCGCCCUCUCGACAUGAUCCGCUCGCGCCCUCCCCAACUCCCGCCCACCUACACCGUCCUCAUCGGACCACCUCCUCCGCUCCCGCACCUCGACGCCGCGUCCCAGAUCUUCUACCUGCUGCCUCCAUGAGGCCCGCCGGAGUCCAAGCAGUACGACGUCCUCGCCGCGGCCCUUGCCGAGGCCGGCCGGUUCGACGAUCUCCGCGCCCUGAUCAGGGAAUUCCGCUGUGACGGGAUCCUCCCCGGCCGCCCGAUGCUCGCGGCGGUCAAGGCGAUGAGGGAGGCGGGGUUCGUUGAAGGGACUGACGAAUUCGUGAAGGAAUUGUUGCCCGACAGCCGGAUCAGAUACACGGUCACCCUUGGGGAAGAAGAAGAACAAAAUGAAGAAGAAGAAGAAGAUGAUGAAGGUGAUGGUGACGAAGAAAAGAUACGAUUGAAGCCGUGGCUCGACCCUACUGCGCUGGCAAGGGCUUUGGAGGAUUGGGACCCUCGCGAGGUCGCCGAAUUGGAAGCCGCGAACCUGGUGUGGACCCCGCGCCUGGUGUGCAAGCUCCUCCGUGCCUUCAGGAAGGCGGAGUCCGCGUGGGAGUUCUUCUGCUGGGUCGCGUACCAGCCGGGAGGGUUCGCGCACGACCGGUACACGGUCGCGAGGAUGAUCGCCAUCCUUGCACGGGCUGGCCAUGCCGAGCUCGUCGACCGACUCCUCUCCAAGGUGAAAUCGGAACAAAUUCUCCUCCCUUUUGCAACGCUAAGAUUGAUUGUCGACUUUUAUGGGCUGUCUAAAAAAGCCGACGCUGCCAUUAGGAUCUUCCAAGAAGCCGAUUCUAUCUGCGGCCCGAUUUCGAAGCCUAAUCGCUUGUUGCUCUGCUCCUCGCUGCUUCGAACAUUGGCCAAGUGUAAGAGGGGACACGAUGCGAUGGAGCUGUUGGAAGAGAUGAUGCUACAAAAUGUUCUUCCAGAUAUACAAACCUUUUCAGGUCUGAUGCAGUAUUUUGCAGGUGUCGGGGAUUUGAAGAGUGUUCAUAAGCUGUUCGGUAUGGUGAGGCAGUGUGGGUUGGAGCCCGACACGUAUAUGUAUAUGGUACUGAUCCGUGCGUAUUGUAAGCAAGAGAGGGCGGUUCUCGCUUUGAGGUUGUUCGACGAAAUGCGGAGGUCGGAUCUGUUGCCGGAUGGACCAACAAAGGCUUUGCUUGUGAAGAGCUUGUGGAAGGAAGGGAAGCUAAGAGAGGCGGCUUCAGUGGAGGAGAGAUGUGAGGAUGUGGAGACGGGGCUUCCCAGGGCUUCGCCGGGGCAUGUGUGGACCGUGAGCGCCACGGAUUUUAAGCGGGUUUUUGAUAUUUAUUCCAGAUGCUUCGAAGGGGGUGCUGGGUAGAACACGGUGAUUGCAUGCUGUUUUGUGUUUAUGCCUGAAGGAUGAGUGGUUGGCUUGCUAUGCGCCUUGCGGGUGUGGCAUUUAAUUUAUCAGGUAAUUAGUAAUUUUGCAGAUUUUAUGCUUUUUUUUUUCCCUUCAAUUGAACUUUGUGAUUAUAUUUCAGUACAUGGUUGCACCUCUGAACUGUUUUUGCCGGAUUAAGCUAACUUAGUAGAUAACUAUACCGUGCGGAGGUGUGUGAUCAAACUAUACGAUAGUCUAGUGUCUUAGAAUCUGCUGUUCGAUAAUGAAUGGCAAUGACAAUCAAGAGACUAAUUUGACAGAUGCCAUAUUUGGCGGUAUACCUCUUUAUGCAUCACCAUGCUUGAAUUAUCUCUUUUGCAAACAUUUUUGUUCGGACGGUCCCUUUUGUACUUCACAGUCUGGAAUCUAAUUCCAAUGUGUCUAUGAAAGAGAUACAACGGUGGAUGCAACUACUUCAAGUUUAUUAGUUUGAUUCAUGUUGUUUAGAAUUUUACUUGCAAAGAGGUAUGUGGUAAAACAGUUGGACUGUGGAGUACACAAUUGGUGCCAUGGGAAUGUAACUCCUGAUGCACAAGCUGAAGUAGAGAAGAGAAAUGAGUGUGUUGCUAUGUGUAGGCCCACAUUUCUGGUUACCUUUCCAAUUAAGUCGUGGGAAAAGGAGCUUUUUUGGUUUAUUUGGACAAGAAGACCUGUGGAUUUUGUCAUUUGAAUGGCAUGCUAUAUGCCUUGUAUACAAGGCAAAGUUUGAGCCUGAGGUUUUGGCCCAGAAAAAGCUGGUUAACAACCAGGUAGAGACCGCAGAAGAGAAGGGAGCAGAACAGAAGAAAGACUUGGGAAAAGGAGGAAAAAGCUAAGAGCAGAAUCGCAGAAUCGCAAUUGCUCUUUAUAAUAACGUAACUUUAAAUGUAUGUAAAAUAGAAAUGUUUGACAUCCUAGUCUUGGAAUAGGAUGAAUUAGGAUGUAAGUGCAUAAGUGUACCAACACAUAUUGAGAAAUAGAUUGUCUAUGCCCUUUCCGCAUUGAUUAUUUGCUCUAGCAUUUGUCUGAUUCAAUUCAUAUGUGAAUUGCUUACUCGUAAAGUUGCUUACAUUAUGCCUAUCUAAUUCAUUACAGGAUCCGAUUCGAGGAACAAGGAGACUUUUCAGAGAGGAGGGGUUGCUGCUCGAUACGAUGAAGAAGAAAAACGGAAAAACGGCAGAAGACGAAAACUUAACAGUGGAUAUGAACUGUUGGUAUAAUCAGGGGGCAGAGAGAGAGAGAGAGAGAGAGAGAGAGAGAGAGAGAGAGAGAGGAUUAUCUAGAAGUCUUCAUCCAGGUUUGGUUUUGAUCUCUAAAGCAUGAGGAAUGUUUUUGGUGCAUUCGUGUUCGGCGUGUGAUUAAAAUUAUAAAUGGCUGUGAAUGGUUGUAAUGUCUGCGACCUGCAAUAAUUAUUUUGGAGCUGUAAAUGUCUAAAAGGCCAUUAUUGAAAAGGGAAAAAUAAUUUGUUACAGAAGGGCUAAGAUUAUCUAAUUUCCUUUGUAGCCGUAAAAUCAUGAUCGCAAAGUUUCUCAGGCGUGUUAACUUAUGUAUGGAUAUGGUGACUCUCCUAUUGCAGCAGCGACCCGUUGGAAACCAAACAAGAAGAAACUUUGGGGCCUGAAUUGAAAUGCUGUAUUAGAUGUAUCACUAUUGUUUGUUAUCAUGUCAUCUCUAAUACUGAUUAGCUUGGGAAAAGCUGGAGACUCUUUGCCCGGGUUCGGCCCGGUAAGGCCCGGCCCGGCCCAUUUUAUUGCUAAGGCCUGUGCAAAGUAGGAUCAGCCUGUGUGGAAGCAGGCUUGGCUGAAGGUAAAGUUCAGAUUGAAGUCGCCUUUCGGAUAAACUAAAGCUUAAGUGAAAAUUACUCUCCUUUCGCUGUUUGUUUGUAUGUAACAGAAUCGUAGUUUUCUUAGUUCUGCUGUUUGUUUAUUAGAAAAUGAAUGAUGUAACAAUUUGCAGGUGUCAGAGAUACUAUAAUAUCUAACUAUUUUUUCUCACAAUUUUUUACUGUAAUUCACAUCGGGCUGAGGUGGGCUAAAAUUAAUCAUGUUAUUUUGAAAAGUUUGAAUUUCCACCGAAGAUAAAGUAAAUAACCAAAAAAAUAUAUAUACGAUCGAAAAUUAUUUUAUCCCUCUCUAUUUGAUAUACCACAAUUCUAGGAGGGGAUUUAUUUGGACUUACCAUCUUAAAACAACUGAGUUCUCUAGUCCCUAAUUUUUAAUUUUUAUUUAUUUAUUUAUUUAUUUUGCCUUUGUUAGCAGGAACGUAUGUGCAGUGUCCAAAUAGCUAGCACGCUAUCUAUAACGUGCUAUCAGAUUAAAAAUAUUUUUACUCUGAUCCAAUCCUUCUUUUUUUUUUUUUGUUUUUUAAGAAUAUAAUUUUGCUACCAAAUUUUAGAUAGAUUAAAAAUGUCACAACAAAAUUAUGUUUUUCGCCAUUUUGUUUAUGAACAAUCAUUGGAAUCCAAAUAACACUUAUCUAACUUCUCCCAACUAUCAUGGGACCUACUUUAUUUAUUUAUUAAUCAACUCCAACCAAAAAGCAUUUAUUAUGAAAAUGAUGUGAAACUUUUACCAUUCAAUUUUGUUUAUGCGAAUCUUACAAUAAUUUUUUAAAUUACACGAAUAUUAGAUGACAAAAUGCCACUGUUCAAUUAUUCGCGAUGGACUUUAAAACUUAGAAUAGUCAUAAUUAGAUUUAGACAAAUUCCAUCGAUAUUUUGUGGCAUUAUUUGUGAUGGGACACCCGAGAUAACGAUCACGUGAAAGGGAUCGUUUUGAAAUAAUAUUUUAUCGAAAAGACUCUUUUCAAAUUAGUGUAAAAACUACUCAAGUUCUCAUCAUAUAUAUAUAUAUAUAUAUAUAUAUAUAUAUAUAUAUAUAUAUAUAUAAAUAUAUAUAUAUAUAUAUAUACUCUCUCUCUCUCUCUCUCUNAAGACUCUUUUCAAAUUAGUGUAAAAACUACUCAAGUUCUCAUCAUAUAUAUAUAUAUAUAUCACAUGUAUUUUGAAUUUUUUGAAAAAAAAGAUAAAAUUAAAUAUAGGAUUAGUUUCUGAAAAGUAAAAUUUAAUUUAACUGUUUUGUGUUUAAUAUUUUGAAGUGUACCAGUAAUGUUAUUUUAUAAUUCGUUACACUGUUGAUACUCUAAAUAAAAAAUAAAAAAAUAAUGUCAAGUGGAGCAAGAAAUGUUGCCACAAAUGAACGUUUCCAAUGUUUAGUAACUUUUCUAAAAUUGCUCUCUAAUUGAUUGAUCAAAAGAGUAAGACCCUCCUUGAUCUGCAUGGAACAUUUUCACUAGUAGAUGUUGCUUAUCAUAUUUACUGUUUUGAGCUUCUUUUGAAUCCAAAAAAUAGUGUGCAUAUAUGCGUGUUUCGAACGCAUUAUUGAGGUGAGAUAUAAUUCGCAUCAAAACAAUUCGAUGUCUAAUUCAAGUUUAUACGACUGACUGAUAGAAAUACUGUAACACUCCACCUAUGUUAUAUAUUUCAUAAAUAUAUAUCGCAAAGUAUAUAAAUAUAGUUAGUAACAACUUGCGACAACUUCCUUUUCUUUUUCCGUCCCCCGAAGUCCUAGUUGUCUCACUCCUAUAGCCCGGUUCAUACUCCUUAUAAAUGAAAUAGAUAGCAUACUAUCUUUUUCUCUCUAAAAAAAAAAAAAACAACUUGCGACAAUUUUGUGGAUAAAGUAUGUAGACCAGUGUAGGUUUCUUAAGAAUUAUGAUUUGGUCUCUUACCUUCCAUUCAAACAAAUAACCUUUCAUUUGUUUUCCUGUGACAAAACUUUUAACAAAAAAUUUCUUAAUAUUUUCUAAAAUCUCUUAUGUCUUGCAGGAACAAUAUAAAAGAACAUGAAUAAUGUCGCAAGAAAUUAAGUUUGUUGAGAAACAAAGUUAUCUAAAAUAAAAGAAUAAGGCGAAAAAUUAAUAAUAAUAAUAAUAAUUUAUCAAAAUUGAAGGAACCAAUGUAGAUUUUACCCUGACCAAACAGUGCAAAUAAAAAAGAAAACAAAAAUUUACAAGAUGUAUCUCAAUCCUAUUGUCCAUUUUAGUUCUAAAUUGGAAUCUUUUAAAGCACAAUUGUACUAGACGCAUUUACUUCUAUUAUUGGGUACAUAGUCGUAGUAUAGUACUAAUUAAAUUGACUUCUCAAAACACUGUCGACUUAUUUAUCAGCUGUAAAUACAAAACUACGUCUCACUUAAUUAGACACGUCUGAUAAAUCUUUUUUUUUUUUUUUUUUUUUUUCUCGCCAACUGAUUCGACGGUUCUCAUACCAUUUUAUGUUCUCAGAUUCUUUAUUUUCUCCUACGGCUGUGACUGCUAUUAUCUAAUGUGAAGAAUAAAUUCGCUGUCAGAAUUUUUUUUUUUUUUUCUAAAUAAUCUUAUAAAAUUUUAUAAUUAGUUAAACGAUCAUCCAAAAAAAUUAUUUGGCCAAAUAAUUCUAUUUUUGUCAACUCAGCACCAGAUUGAAUAUUUUUGUCAAAAGUAGUGAAUUAUUUACCGCUUUUAAGAAGACGACGAACGAUUUACUGCUUCUAGAUUUUCUAUUAAAGCGGUGAAUAUCGUUCACCGCUUUUUUGAAGGUGGUGAAGGAUUCAACAUUUUUGAGGGGUUUCUAGACGGCAUAACAAAUUUUCAGUAAAUAUUUCAAAUUUUAUUUAUCAGUAGAUACCUCAGAGAGUAUUGGAUAAGGACAUUUUAUGGAGGACGACGCUUUGGAUUGAUGAUCAUGAAUGAAAGUUUAAAUAAAGUAUUUAAAGGAGUUUGUGCUUUAUCUAUGACGACUUAGACUGCUCGGGGCACAUUGUCUAAAUGAUUUGGACUUGUAAAAUUUGAGAUAUCUAUCGGAGAUUUGUCGUACAAAGUGAUUGUGAAUGAAAUUUGAGAUAUCUAUUGAAGAUUUACCAUAUUAUCUUUUAUUAAUUAGAUAUAAAAUUUUUUAAAAGCAGUAAAUCGUACACCACUUUAUAAAUAAUUUACCAUUUUAAUAGAAAAUUUAGAAGGCAGUAAGUAAAUCAUUCGUCGUCUUCUUGAAGGCGGUAAACGAUUUACCGAUUUUGUCAGAAUUAUUCAUUGCAGUGCUGAGUUAACAAAAGAAAAGUUAUUUGAUCAAGUAAUUUUUCAAAGAAAAUUUUUAACUAAUUAUAAAAUUUUACAAAAUUAUUUGAAAAAAAUAGUCCUUCCCCAUCUCCAAUCAGACUUUUCCUUUUUUUUUUUUUUUUUUUUCUCACCCAGCUGACAGCAAAGUCAUUUUGUACUGGAGCUCCCAUUUCCUGAUCUGCCACCUUGUUUGCCUUUGGAAAAAUCGUACAGAAUCAACCAAACCUGAAUUGGCCAAGAAUUGGACUCCAACAUCAUCUCCAUUUCUUAUCCAUCCUAGCUCUUCUUAUUCCUCAACAGUGCACACAAACACAAAGAGAGAGAGAGAGAGAGAGAGAGAGAGAGAGAGAGAGAGAGAAAAUGUGUUCUUCAACUUCAUCUCUUCUCUCCAUUCUCUCUCUUCUCCUUCUCCUGUGCACAAACUCAUCUCACUCCAUACCAAUAUUCCCCUCCCCUUACAUUAAUUCUCUAUCUCAGAGAGCCCAAAGAGCUGCAGCAAAAGGAAAAGCAGUACUCAGCAGCAGCAGCAGCAGCAGCAAAGACCUGCCAUUCACCACCCACUACUUCCCACAGCAGCUAGACCACUUCACCUUCCAGCCAAGAGCAGAAAACACCUUCUACCAAAAGUACCUCAUCAACUCUACUUUCUGGGAUCAGGGUCCCCUCCACACUGCACCCAUAUUUGUGUACACAGGAAACGAAGGCGAUAUCGAAUGGUUCGCGGAGAACACCGGCUUCAUGCUCGAUAUCGCGCCUAUGUUCGGAGCACUUCUCGUGUUCAUUGAGGUACGUAUACGUAGUAUCUACGGCUUUACUUCUUUGAAAAGUUUAAAUUGAUAGAGAACGGUAAACAAAAUUUUAACAUUUAGAAUGAAGAGCAGAUACGACGCUAGUGGGAGUUUUUAUCUUCAAAUUCUAUAUUAGGAGAAGUUUUUGAUUGUUACUUUCAUCAAUACCUGAAUUAUGAAAAUUGAGAUUCCGACGACAUCUGAUCAAAUAUAGACAGUAAAUAGUAACCGAAUUUAAUAAAUCUUUCCAUAAAUAAUAAAAUGCUGAGAUAUUUAUCGCAUCUGGUCAAAUACUGACUCUUUUAAUAACUCUGUUAGUAACACCACUUCUGAUAUUUGAAUCAAACUAAACAAAUCCUGCAUGUUAUUACUAAGAUCUUUUCAGAGGAAAAUGGUGUGUGGUUAUUACAAAUUCAUCACUUAAUUUAUGUCCCUUUUGAUAAUUUUGUAGCAUAGGUUUUAUGGGGAAUCGAAGCCAUUCGGAAAUGAAUCGUAUAAAUCGGCCGAGACAUUGGGUUAUCUCACUUCAACACAAGCACUGGCAGAUUAUGCGGUGCUCAUCAGAAGUUUAAAGCAAAACUUCUCUGCAGAAGCUUCUCCUGUUGUAGUUUUUGGUGGUUCCUAUGGAGGAAGUAAGCAAUUUUUUUUAAAAAAAAGAAUCUAUUUUUACUCUUUUUUUCUUUUUAAUUACUAAUUAAGCAUAGUAUUUUCUUAAUCCUUAUCUAAUUUUUGACUGAUGUGCGAUGUCGUGACUAAUGGAUGUGUGACCAAAUGAGCGAAAAUGAGAGUUUUAGAGUGGAUUUUCCACAACUUGUAUUUUAGUAUGUUGUUGAUAUGUUGGCACCCAUAUAUAAAGUGUUUAAGGCUUAGAAAUUAGGAUCUAAUGAUGAUGUUUAAAAUUUAAUAAUAUUAUUUCGAGAUUAAAAAUGAUAUUAUUAACCGUACUCAUCAAUAAUAUUGUGGGGUAUCUGUAGCAGUACUGUAAAAGGAGUGCCAUAGUCAACCUAGACUAAAAUUGUUCCAUAAACAGUCCCAAAUAUGUAGGGUAAUGUUAGCUGUACAUUGGUCCUAUCCUCAUACUACUUUGUUUGUUCUUCUAAAUAAAUAAGUUGUCAAAAUUUGAUUGAUUCUUGCCAAUGUUUUAAUAGUUAAUUAAUUGGUCUUAGAAUUAAUAAAUAAUUCACUCAAAUAUUUUGCUGUGAAAUUAAUUGCUCCAAAAAUUGAUUUCUUUAAGAUCUUAAGAUACCAACACAAAAAAAAAAAGUUAACAUUGUAAUACAUUAUAUAUUUCACACUAGAAGAAAUAUUAUCAUUUCUUUUAACUAGUAGAUUCCACCCCCCAUUAGUCAAAAGGACUACUCCAACUUUGUCUGUUGUGCAUGUGAGAACUGUGAAACAUGGGAAGGAUCUGUGCCCUAUGCAUCAUUAAUCAAUCAGAAUACCAUUUUUUAAUUCAUUAGUGAUCAGCUUGUUGAGCUGUCACACAAAACUGCUGCAGUCAUAAGCUGUUUUUGAUUUUUUCUGUUGAAUUUUGGCUUGGGUUUCAGUGUUGGCUGCAUGGUUCAGAAUAAAGUAUCCCCACAUGACAAUUGGGGCCUUGGCAUCAUCAGCCCCAAUCCUGGAGUUUGAUUACAUUACUCCUUGGAGCAGCUUCUAUGAUGCUGUGUCCCAAGACUACAAGGUUUGUUCAUUGUAUACUUCCUAAGAUCCCUAGAGCUUUUUUUUUUUUUGUUAUAUUCUGUAUCUGCAUUAAUUUACAAUUCAAGAAGUUGGUGGCUCCAGCAUUAUCUUUAAAAUGCACAUGCACAACGAUAGCAACCACUGGACUAACCUAGCGCUAGGAGUAUUAGUAUGACAAAUCGACUUUUUAAAGAUAUACUAGAAAAUUUAUAUGUGGCAAUAUACAUUGGAAACUGAGGGCUCAUUUGGCCUAAAUUUUGCUUCUACUUUCAGCAACAGUUGACUCUAUCAAGUUGUGUAGAAAGAGAAAAGUCAGAGCUUAGGUUAUCGCAACGGAAAACACAACGAGAUUUAACGCUCGAAAGUGAUCUAUUGCAUAGAGAAUCUAUUACAAGGAUACCAAUAUGAUGCUUUUUACUGAUAGUACUAGUUGUACAAAAUUUUAUUGAACAGUACCAUACCCUACAACAGAGCAAACAGGGCCAUAGACAAAAAGAACAUGAAUGAAUUUCAGAUUUUGCAGGGGUGUAUAUGUAUACUAAUGCUUCAUCACACAAUCUAUAUGACAAUAAAUUCAUAUCCGUACCAUCUUAGCUAUGCUUUUGCCAUCUUUGUAGGAUGAGAGCUUGAAUUGUUUCCAAGUCAUCAAGGAAAGUUGGGAUGAGCUGAUUGCAAAGGGAAGUACGAAAGAAGGGCUUUCAGAACUCAGCAAGACCUUCAGAGCUUGCAAGUAAGUUUUCUCACAUUACCCAACUCUUUUUAAAAUUUGAAAACAGGGCAUAUACUUGCAGGCUUACUAGUAGAGAAAAACCUUAUACACCUACUAACCAUGCAUAGAACUCUGUACAUAGUAACACAUCUCAUAUAGUUAGGAUGUUAGUAAUUUGCAUCCCUAAAAGAUCGAUCAAUCGAGAUCUUAUAGAAAACGAUACAGAAAUAGUAAUACUCAUCUUAACAGUUUCGAUGUCUCUACAGGAGUAUUCAAUUCGUAAAUUCCAUACAGAAUUGGCUAUGGACGGCGUUCGUAUAUACGGCCAUGGUAGAUUAUCCAACACCAGCAAACUUCCUCAUGCCUCUACCAGCCUACCCAGUAAAAGAGGUAAAAUCUCUAAAUAUAUGCUCUUUAAUUUAGUAAACUUAACAUCAUGCGUAUGGAAUUUGAACAACAAGCACAAAAGUUAAGCAUCCUCCUGCAUGGUAGGAAAGUUUGGCGUGAGACACAUAUUUGCCCUAAUUUUCAACUGAAAAGUCAAGGAGUUGAUGCCAAAUAUUCAGAAUUCCUUCUCAUUUGUAGCCCUGGUAUUAUGUAGCUAGUACUUGUGAGUAAUGAAUGUUUCUUUUGGCUUAUUUAGAUGUGCAAAAUUAUAGAUGGAUUUCCGCAAGGCACCGACAAAAUCAGCAAGGUUUUUGCAGGAGCAAGCUUGUAUUACAACUACUCUGGUGAUGAGCAAUGUUUUGAUAUCGAAAAUCAGUCGGAUCCUCAUGGCUUAAAUGGUUGGGAUUGGCAGGUACAAAAAGGAAAAAAAAAAAGUUGAACCAAUUCUAUGAACUUAGAGUAUAUAUAGUGGGAAUUGAAGCAUUACAGUCUCUGACAACACCAACAUCAGAAAAAAAAUAAUGAAGUGUUCAGUAGUAAUCUAAUUGUAUCCUACUUAAUACAUGGUUUAUGUGUUUUUUUGUAUUGUUUCAAUGAUCAUAUCAGAAUAAAAUAGAGAUGCCAAAUGAAUCAACUAAGUCUAGAAUUGUUUCUGCUUUUUUAAAAAGCAACAAAAAUAUUGUGUAAUCCAAGGAAGACCUUGAUACUUACUUACCAUGCAUGGUACUGACUACUUGUUUAAGAUUCAAAAAAUACAUAGUUAUACAUCUUAAAAUAGUUAUAUUUUUUAUAGUUCACCAAGAAAGUUGAUCCAAAUAUCACAGAUUUAGCUAGCUCAGGUUCCAUAAUAGAAAAAAUAAAUGCCUUUAUUAACUAGAAUUAUCUGAACAAAUACAAAUACUACUGUACUCAUACUUCUUCUAUCAAAGAGUAAAGCAAGCAAAAAUUUAAAAAAAAUUGAAAAAAGUUUGUUAGUCUAUAGGCAUGCACAGAGAUGAUCAUGCCCAUGACGGUCUCGAAUGAGAGCAUGUUCCCCCCAUCGACAUACAGUUACAAGGAUGCCGAAGACCAAUGUGUGGCCAAAUACGGAGUUCGACCACGGCCUCACUGGAUUACAACAGAAUACGGUGGCAAUGUAAGUUGCAUUUCUUUCAUGCAUUUGAUUGUAACCCAUGGAAGAAUUUUAGCAGAACCAUAGUCGUUCUAAAUUGAUGUUUCGACAAUCGAUAGAAAAUUAAGUUUAAACUAUCUGAAUUGAAGAUCGACACUGAUCAUCAGCAGUGUCCCAUCUCUACAAUCAACUGUUUACUCAUAGUAUACUUGUUUAUUUUUGUCAUGAAGCAGAGAAUUCACCAAGUUCUCAAGAGAUUCGGAAGCAACAUUAUAUUCUCUAAUGGAAUGAGAGACCCUUGGAGCAGAGGGGGGUGAGAUUUACCUGACUUUUAUCACAAAGACAUAUAAUAUGAUCUAAAGUCAUGCUAAUUACUCUACAAAAAGAGAAGGCCAUAUUCAGUAACUCUGAUUCUUGUUUUCCCUCUUAUUGAAUUGUAGGGUACUCAAGAACAUAUCAAGUAGCAUCACUGCCCUUGUCACAGAAAAAGGUCAGCAGGCAUUAAAUCAAGUUGAUAUUUCCAUACAGCAAUGAGCAAUUUUUUAUCAAUAUUGCAAAUGUUUAUUUGGAGUUAGAUGCAAAAGUUAACUUACAACUGAACCAACAUAAAGAUUCUUCGCGAUUCUUGUGAUUUAUGGUCUAAUUACUAACUUUUGUAAACUAUUUUUUACUUCAUCAGGGGCUCAUCAUUUAGACUUCAGAUUUGCCACAAAAGAAGAUCCAGAAUGGGUUAAAGAACAAAGGAGACAAGAAGUUGAGAUCAUCCAAAGUUGGAUAGAUCAGUAUCGCAGAGACUACGAAAGUUCAUCAUGAUGGGAGAAAAGCCAUCAAGGAUUGAAAUACAAAUAUUUGAAUAAAGUUGAAUGAAUGAGAAAUAAAAUUUGAGCUUUUUGUACUGAAAAUAGAUUACUUUUUAGGCAUUCCAAAGAAAAAAUUGUUUCUGUUUUAGCCUUUUCAACUGGAUGCAGAAUCUGUACAAAUUGGAAGGAAAGUUCAUGAUACUCUGUAAUUUUUUUUAUAAAUUGAUUGGUUCCAAAACCGCCGUAGUCGAAGGUUUUAUUGUUUUAUCUCGGUUUGAUCCUACUUUAAGUUCACAACAAGAUUAGUAUGAUAAAUAUAUUUUUACUCAUUUCUUAUGAAUUGCGAGUUGGGUUUUGUUGGAAAAGGAAUAACCUCUUCUGUGAUGAAUUGGAUAAAUUCAAAAUUAUCAAUCCAACGGAGGGAUCCAAAAGAUACGGAAGAAACUUCUCAUUUCAUGGAGGCAUGAAAGACAGUAUAAAAUCACAAAUAAAGAAAAUUUGGCCACCAUACUCAAAAUCAAGACCUUUGCCAAAGAAUUAGAGCACCAACAUGAAUUGAAUCAACUGAAAAUGAUGAAGUAUACAAGUAGAAAUGGAAAAGUGAGUGCAUAUCCAAUGUAUGUUCAUAGAUAAAAGGAUGAACCAUGAAUACUCUACGGCCUUUCCACACAUGUUAACCCAGAGUGGUAUGUUUAAGAAACAUAAAGGAACUCGUUUAGCUUUUGAAGACAGAACAAGAUUAUCUGAUUGAAUGACAAUUUAUUAAAAGAUUGUAAAGUUGAGUUAUCGAAGAAAUUGCUUUGCCUACCCAUGAAGACACCACUGAGUCUCGCUAUCAGAACAUAAGCGGUGUGUGUAAAACAAAAAAACUACCCAACACAAAGGCAUGUUCUGAUUUAGUAGUUAUUACAGUAGUAAAUUGCAGUAUCCUGCUUUAGUCGAGAGGGUAAAAGUCAAACAUUGAAAGAUCAUACCAUUUUGCAAUAAUGAUAAAAAAAAAAAAAAAAAAACUGGGAAAGAGAACAAUCUCAUAGUAUCAUCUUAAAAAUUUCAGCAUAAACCGAAAAAAAGGCAAUCAGGAACUUACAUUUCCAAAUGAUAAGUAGAUAGGAAAAAUUACAAUCAAGAGAAUUAAUAACUCCAAUUAUCCUUUCCCAGGUUUGCUGGAACAUCAAGUUGCCUUUCGAUUCACUUUGAGGUAAGGAAGCGCACCGAUCACAUUAUCAUAAUCACUUCUAUUAACAGGGUGCUGCAAAAAAAAGAAAAAGAGAGGGAAAGAAAAAGAAAUUAUAUAAGAAAGUUAUUGACCGUAAAAGAAGUCAAAUAUGUCUCCCAAAAAUUCACCACUACAAACCAUUUCCUAUAUAACUAAAUAACCAAGACGUUCAAAGUAUAGAAUAGCUGAUGCUCAUUUUGUAAUAGAAGAUUCGUUCUGAAAUAAGUUGAUUGGUGCAUAAUCCUUUCCAUCGAUUUGUAAUGGGUGAUGCUCAAACUUAUCUUUACAUGGCCAUUUCUAAGUAAUUGUUUAACUGUUUAUUAAUAAACUAAUUUCUGUUUUCGAUUCCUACACUCGAAGAACACAUUAGCUACAAAACCUGUGGAAAAAGGAGCUGGUUUUGUCGAAAUAAUUUUAUUAAAAUCUGCAAUGUCAUUAAAACUAAAAAGCUUCAUUAGAAAGAAGAGCGAGAUAAUUUGAAAAAAUCGCUGGUUAAUUUAACAAUAUUCCCAUUCAAGCAAAUAAAACCUAAAAUGUUUCACAUCAGACAUAAGUGAAAAAGGUAGAAGCUGAUCUCAAACACACAAAAAGGGGGAAAAAAAGUGCUUUUUUACCAUCUUGGAAAGGCGAAGCUUCCGCUUGGUGUUCUUCUUCCCCAGCAAGUGCUGCUUCCCGGAGCGCCUCCUCACUAUCUUCCCACUCCCCGUCACACGGAAUCGCUUCGCCGAAGCCUUCAAAUCGACAAACUACGACAUGGGUUUCGUCCACCGCAACGGAUCAAAAGGGAGAAACGGGUGGUAAAGAAUCGCACCUUGUGGGUCUUCAUCUUGUAUCCUUUCGCCGCGAACACGGUGAGAGAGGAGGGCGUUUGCGAGGGUGAUUGUGAUGGGGGGAGGUUGGUGCGGAGAGUGAGGGGGGAUGGGAACGAGGAAGGGGAGCAGGUGAGGCUGGUUUUGAAGGAGGGGAGGGUGGAGGAGAAGCGAACGACGCCAUGGGAGAGGCGGAGAGGAGCUCGGAGAGUGGGGGAGAAGGGGGAGAAGCAUAGAGCGGAGGAGGAGGCCAUGUUUAGGUGCUCCUCCUCUUUUUCUUUUUCUUUUUAAUUUUCGUUUGUGGCUCCUCUUAAAUGGAUCGUGUAGUUUUGGGAUAAUUAGAGGAUAAAAUUGAAAAAAUGGUGUUAAAUUUUUUUUUAAAAAAAAUGGAGUGGAUAAAUCUUAUCAUGGGCCGGGCCUAUGACGGCCCAUUAUCAAAAAUUUUCAUAUAAAAUAAAUAUAAAUAUAAUUUUAAUAUAAAAUAAAUAUGGUCCAAGCGUUCGCGCGGAAUCACGAGGGCCUUUAAUUAAUUGGGCGGUUGUGAUUUCGAGCUAUGACGGAAUAAACGGUGGAUACCCUGGCGGUUCAUGGAUUAGGCGGUGAACCAGGUGCAGGGAAUUACUUCUCAGUACAGGUAACACCGACUCAGUUUGCUCCGCGUCUUCUUCUGUGGAAUCGCGGGGUAAGUUUCGCUUGAUCGAUCGCUUGAGGUAUUCGAACGAUUCCUUUAUUUUUUUACUUUUUCCAUUUAAUUUUUAAUUUGUUUCUUUUUGUUUGUGUUCCAUUUCCUGAUCAAUUCCGCAUUGGAACCAUCCUAAUCAAGCGCUAGGGUUUUGUUUCAAUCCCCCUCUCGGGGGUUUCCCCAAAAAAAUCCCAUUUUUAACCCUAAAAGGCUCAAUUUUUUCUCAGUUGGAGUUAUAAAUAUUAGCUUUUGGUUUUUUCUACAUCAAUGUUGGAUUUUGGGUGCAUUCCUGUAUAAUUUGAUGCUCUUGUGCUUAAAUUUGCUUUGAGUUUGUUGUACUAAAGGUGCAUAUCCAUGGAAGCAUUGUAAUGUAUGCUUAGCCUUAAUAAUUUCUUAGAGUUGAUUUCAGCGUCCGUAUUAAGGGUCUGUUUGAUCUUGCUGCACGAUACCGUACUGUUUGAUAAAGUGUUGUCUGAAUAGUGCGAUCAGUAAAAAUGUUAUAUUUAUACGCCACCAACACUACUUUUGACGGUCAGAAUCUCAUUUCUGCUUCCUGAUGCAGUAAAAGUUUUAGACUUUUCUCUUUGCAGAGUGUUCUAGAAGAGGUUGCUAUUGCUGAAAGUGGAAGUAGAAGCUUCGGCCGCACAGGCACUAAAGGCUUAUGUCAGAACUUAAUUCGCGCAAUCAGCUCCUUAUUGGGCAUUCUUACCAUCUUAAAUGCAAGGAUAUGUAAUAUUUAGUUGAUUGCACGUAGUUAUAGUUUUGCCCUUAGAGUCCAUUGUCGAACAUUUGUAUCUCUCGCUAAUCAUGAGAUUGUGAAAUUGUGAUAUAUAUACUGUUUGCUUCUAUGUCGUAAGCUUACAUUCAAAGAUUUCUCCCCAGUGCACUUCAUGCUAGAGUCUAAUAAGUUCAUGCUGAAAAGUUUAACAUGUGAAGAACUUGCAGCGUAAUUUGUUCUCUGUCCCUUCAGAUUAGCUCUAUUCUUACAGAUGAAAAUCAGUGGGUGAUAUUAUUCAAUUUGUCUACUUCUGAGGGUUUCUCUUUUCUUUGUUUUUCUGUGUAAUAACUUCCCUUUUGCAUUGUUUAAUGAACAGAUUGACUCGGCCAACUUGCAUGCUUUUGAGGUAUUAUCUUUUACUUGGGCUAAGAGGCUAAGCACAAAAUGCGAGAUGGGCUCCCGUCUGAAGCUGUCUGGCAUGCAAAAGCAGGUUUUGGGCCUGUACAGAGGAUUCCUGCGGGCAGCUCGAUUGAAGGCCGCGGAGGAGCGUCGUGCGAUUGAGUCGGUUGUUUCGACCGAGUUCCGCCACAACGCGAAGAACGUUGAUCGCAAGAAUUUUAUUUACAUUGAGUACUUGCUGAGACGCGGAAAGAAGCAACUUGAGCAACUCAAGAAUCCUGAUACCACUGGCUUAUUGACCCUUAAAGUGAGUGCGAAAGAAAACUAAUUUGUUGCCUGUAUUCUUGUCUUUUUUGAAUUUUCGGGGGGAAAGGGGGAUUUGUUAUCCGACUCAAUCACUUAAACAUAAACCACAAUAAUACUUUGUUAUGUUUGUAGCCGGUAGCCAGUAUUUUGGUAAGUAUACUCUUUAGAUGCAACAGUAGGUAGGGUCAGCUACUGAUAUGGAGUAUCCUAUUCUCUAACAAAGAUACAAGUUAAACCUCUAUAUAGCAUUUUUAAUACUUUGGAGGGGGAUAUAAAGUCUAAAGAAUCGGCUGUCAGAAUAAUUGCUUUUAUGAUAUGUCAAUUUGACAGAAACUUGAGUUAUCUACUUCAGAAUAUUUUGGGAGCAUUACAUUUUGAUGGUGGAUAGUCAACAUGAAAAAUUAGAUUAAAUGAUGAAGAGGAGUAAUGAUCUAUGAAAUGGAGAAUCUGAAUGCAUAAGAUUGAUAUCAAAGUGGACCCCCAUUUUCUUUUGAAGGGCGCCUUCUGACUUGCUUUUGCACAUUAUUUUAUAUUAUCGCUUUUUUGUGCUUUUCUGCAUUUUAUUGUGGUUUUGGUAGGAUAUAUUCACCAAGUACUUUAUUACUGUGCAGUUGUUGUUGUUUUUAGAAGUAUCUAAUAAAUGUAUUACUUUUAGUUCAUUAUUUACAGAUUACCUCUAUUAUUUGUUCCUUAUUGGGUAAUUAGGCGUAACUCAUGGGAACAUGAACUGUUCUAACAACUGCUUUUCGUUUGAAACUAUCAGGCCUCUUCAUCUGCCGCAGCAAGUUCGCAAUCUGAUGCUGGAACUUCUGUCCCUUCUCAUGAUCAAUGGGAUGUUGAUGAAUCAAACGAUAACAUUACAGCGAGUCGAUCAUGAUCACAUAUGCCCCCCUUCCUUUACAGAGAACUUAAGAUUGGGAAAAAUUUUGAAUAGAAAUUUGUUGAGAUCUCCAACAUGGUGAAUUCUGUUAUUACUAGUAGCCACCAGAAACCGUGCAGUGUUGAAAUUCACAUCACCAACAUAGUUUUCGAGAAUAAGACAGAUACCAGAUAUAUCUGCUUUUACUCCUGAGGUUCAAUUCAACUCUCUUAUAUUAGUUGCUGUAACAUGACUUCUUGAGCUCAGCAAUCCGUGGGUCGAGUUAUAUGAUUAUAAUCACAUCUUUAGCCCAAACAUGUUGUUCCAAGCAACAAAGCUGCAUGCUUGUAAGUCAAAUGUUACUCUUCACUUGAUACAAACAAAAUUUCAGCUUUAAUUUCUGCUAAUUAUACUUCUGCACUUUUAUAAUAUUUGGUUCUUGUCCUCUGUAUUCCUGGUGAGGGAUGAUGUACUAGGGGGAUUAGUCAAAAGAUCAAAAAUACUGAAAAGUAUCUUUCUCCUUUAGUAUACAGAGCUUCAUCCUAGUGUUUUCUUUUUCUUUUUCGAAUAAGAGUACUUAAAGAAGAACUGAAAGUUGCCUUGAAUUAUUAUGUUAGUAGAAUAAUUGAGUGGGGCACCCAGAACUCCUGUUCACACUAUUCUUUCACAAGAGCUAGUAAGUAUCAAAAAUAGAUUGCAAGUGAAAAAUCAAAUGGACCAUGCCAUGUGCACGGUGAAAAACAGUAACAAAUGAGGUGAUUAUGUGGGGAAUUCAAUCCUCCACCUUGCAAAACUGAGGGUGAUUUAGGACUAGCUCCUAUACUGUAUCGUUCGCCAAAUGGAUAUGAUAGUCAAAGAACCAGUAAUAGUCUCAUCACUAUUCAAUCACUCCCAACUUGAAUUACUAUUCUCAUGUCAUAUAACAUUGGUGAUUUUGAAGAUUAUCCAUGUAGCACAAAGUAGCCAAACAGUGAAAGUUUGGCCACAUUGAUGGUGACAAAGAGAACUUGGUACUUUGGACUUGUAUACUUGUGUUCCUUGUUCUUCCCAUCAUCCACUAAUAUGAGAUUUGUAUGGAAACCUCUUUUUGUGCCACCCUCUCUCAUUCUUUUAUCUAGUUCAACGAGUAUUAUGGGGACAGAUGUGGACCUUAAAGAUCUCAAAUAAAGAUAUGACCUAACUUCAAUAGACAAUCUACAGUGCAGGAUCUUCUUAUGUGGGUUAUGUGCUACACUUUAACCACUUUGACACUGCUGUGAAAAGAUCAAUAAAGCAGCAGAAGCCACCCAUAUCCACUGAUGCUAUCUUUUGUGUUUACUUAAUUCCACACUUUCUUUUAGUAGUGGGGCUUUUCAGUGUGUGCUUAGGUUGCUGAAUUGAGGAGGAAUUGUUUUUCUAAAAGUGCUUAUGGUAACAUUUCCACAUAUUUUUGCUGUGUAGGAAAGCACUUGGUGGGGGCCCAAUUCUCCACCUCAGCUUUCUCCAGAUCUUUGUCGGCCACAUGUCGAUUUCGAGCCGCCAGGUGGAGUCGCCUGAUUGGUUCCUUCGUGUCGCUGUGUUUGCUUGUAAUUGGGUGGAGAGUGUAAAAAAAAAAAAAAAAAUCCCAUUUUUGCUGGAUAGAGCUAGAAUAUGGUCUAAAUUAUGCCAAAUUAUAUAUGAAUUUGUAUAAUUUGAAUUUGAGAGGAGCUUAUUUUGCAUGUGCCCUAUCUUUGAUUAAGAAAGUUUUGACAUUCUCAGAUGAGUCUCAGGUGAUUAUUGCAUCAAACCGAGUUGUGCAAAGAUAUAAAGGGAAGGUGAUUCCUAAACUGUUGAAGAGGAAUUUAUUCUUAGACAGUGGAUGCUUAAAUUCAUAAAAUGAGCUUAUUCUAACCAACACUAUAAACACCCAAGUUAACAUUGCAAAUUGUGGAAUCACCACCUUUGUUGUCUACAAAAUGUGUGUGGGAUAAUAUGGAGUUUGACCCCGCAUAAUAUUCAUGAGAAUUGGUACUUUGCGAAGAGCUACGUAAGUAGUUACAUUCAUAUGGAAUUUUAAUUUCUUCUUGUAAUAAGUUUACACUAAACACUAAUUUUCGGUGAAUGAUUAUAUUGCCUAAAAUGGAGCUUAGAUUACUCUGUGGUGGCCUAUUGUUAAUAGUGCAUGGGUUAAUUAAGCCCUAAUCAUUAAUGAUAUCAAUGUAUCUUGAGUAUAUAUGAUGAUUCACGCUAAAACCUUUACCCAAAAUUAAUUGAAACACUGCAUUAAUCUACCUCCAAUACGAUGAAAGAAGCAAAUUAACCUCAAGAUUUAAUUGAUACGGAUGCGAUGCAUGCAUUAAUUAACAUACACAUUAAUACACGUUUGAUCAGCUGUAUCUUCACCUGAUACAACAAAUCUCUUCAAUAAUUACAUCAAUUUAAGCUUCGCAGUUACUCUCCAACCUCCAAAUAUAUUACAUAUGAUCAUGUGCAAUGAACUAAACAUCUCAACGCCAAAUUAAAGCAAAUUAAUAACCAUGCAUGCUUAAUUUCUUGUAGAGACUAUGUAUAAUAUAUAUGAUGAAAGUAUUAUGUGCAUAUGUGUAUGCGCAUAAAGAAUUAAUGUGUAUAUAUAUAUCAUUCAAACGCAUGUGUAUAAUACAAAAGUUUCCAUGGGAUCAUUAUUGAUGGAGCUUUUUGUGACGAAAUAUGGAAAUACGGUGAUCUCCUAUUUAUAUCGUCAGAAUUAUUUUAGCCAUUAAAUAUGAAAAAGUAAAAUGAAAAAUAUGUGAUUUUUAUAUUGGGUUAGUCCUGAUAAAUAUAUAGAAUGUGUUAAAGUAGAGAGAGAGAGAGAGAUUAAAAGCUCCAUGUAAGCUUCUUUUGCAAGAUUCCUAGCUCUCUCUCUCUCUCUCUCUCUCUCUCUCUCUCUCUCUCUCACACACACACACACAGAUUGGUUUGAUCCCUUUCCCAUUACAUUCAUUCUCUCUCUCUCUCUCUCUCUCUCUCUCUCUUUUAGUAGUAGUAGGAGGAGGAGGAGGAGAAAGGAGAAGUGCAACACAAGAAGUAGAGAUAAUUAAGUAAGCUCAACUUAUCAUCAUAGGAUAAUAUUCAUGGAUACCACCACCCUCUCAGAGAGCUCAAGCCUCUCCCUCUCCCAAUACUCCCCACACCACAACCACAACAAAGCCCACCCCUCCACCACGAUGACGCACACAAGAGAAGAGCAAGAGAUGUCUAAAGAAGAGAAAGAACCAAGAGAUGAUCAUGAUCAACCCAACACUAACAACAACAACAACAGCGAAGAAAACAACCGCAGCGAAGCGUCGGCGGCGCUGCCGGCCGUCGAGCUCGACCUCCUCGGCGUCCUCGCCGCGCCGCCGCCGCCGGCUGAGCCCCGCGUGUUCGCGUGCAACUACUGCCGGCGGAGGUUCUACAGCUCGCAGGCGCUCGGCGGCCACCAGAACGCCCACAAGCGCGAGCGCACCCUCGCGAAGCGCUGCGCCGCGCCGCUCAACGGCGGCAGCAGCAGGCCUCUCGGCAUCCGCGCGCACGCCGUGAUCCACAAGCCCUGCCUCGGCGCGACGUCGUCGGCGGCGGCGGUGGGGGGAGGGUGGGUGUUCGGAAACCACGCUGAGAGCCGCCUGGCGGGGAUCGGACGGCUCUACGCGCAGGACUACGUGUUCAGCGCGGCGGCGAGGGCCCACGCAGCGAGGUUCGAGGGCGCGGAAGCGAUUGGUUAUAAGUGGAUGGGUGGUGGUGGAGGAGGAGGAGGAGGAGGAGGAGGAGGUGGUGGUGAUAGUAGUGUGAAGGUCAAAGAGGAGAAGGAGUUGACCGACGUUGACUUGACUUUGAAGCUGUAGAGACUGUAUAGGCGUUGACUUUGACUUUGACUAGUUAGGCGUAUGAGUUUGGGUUAUAUAUAUUAUAUAUAUAAUAUGUGCAUGAUGCAACAUUAGAUGAUUAUUAUACUGUGGAAUUUAGUUUUUUUUUUUUUUCUCUCUAACUUUAUAUAUUUCCCAAUUUUUGAUUGCAGAGUUGAAUAGAUUGCAGUGAUUCAACUUAAUUAGUUCAAGGUAUUCUUAAAUUAUGUGGAUUUUUUUUCUCAUAAUUUGGAUGGAUUUUUUUUUGGGGUGCUUUUUAAUUAGUUCAAGUGAGUGUGAUUCACUUAUUUUGAUAAAAUAUCGUAAUCUUCUAUUACAGUAGUGAUCUGCAGUUGAUGUACGAAAAAGAAUAUAUUGAAUUACCUUAAUUUGUAUGUAUUAUUAAUUGAUAGAAUGUGAUGACAUGGACAAUUAUGUAAACAGCUACUAAAGUAAGGUUUUCUUUUAAAAAAAAAAACAUUCUUUAUGAAAAGAACUACUAAGCAAGCUGAGACAUUACACAUAUAUGGGUAUUGGGAUUUUUGGUUAAAAUUGGAUUUCCUAGAUUGGGUGCAUUGAAUUCUUUUUCAACUCUUCUAUUUUGAGUUUGUGGUUGGUUUGAAAUAGAGCCUUCUAUGGAAGUGUCUACAUAAAAUUUACUAGUUCCUGCUGGUGAAUAAAAACCUAUGAAUGCAAUUAGAGAAAUGUUUUUUUUUUAGGUUGAAAGGUNUUUUUUUUUUUUUGCCAACUAAGAAGGAGAUUUAAAUUUCUAAUUUUCUUGUGUUUCAACUCCUUGAUUUGCUACUAAUAAAUGGGGAUCCUCUCUCUCACUCUUUAUAUAUGGUUUAUAUAGCUGGCUAAUUAUAUGAAAAUCCUUAUCAUAAAUAUGGUCUCUUAAAUGACAUGCAUGUACAGUAUCUUCUAAAUUGGUUAUUUGCUUACCAUGCAAGAAUAUCUUCCUGGUGUUUUAAUUGAAUAGUGAUUAGUAGUCUUAAAAUUUGGAUCCAAUUUAAUCACAUUAUUAUUACUCAUAAUUUGUGACCAUUUCCACACAACCUGCUAAAUGCCUUUACCAUCCCUGUAUAACCCAGUUGGAUUAUACAUUGUGCUAUAGAAACUUCAUUUACAUCGUAGAAAAUAUAUAUAUGUUGUCAAUAUCUAUUUCAGAAUGAAAAAGAAAAGUCAAGCCAAAUAGACAGCCAAAAAGACACUAACAGACUUGAGUAAAAUGAAUAAUGAAACAUUCCGAUUAAAAUAUUGUUCGAAUUUAGGUAUACUGAUCGAUUUUACAUAUCGAACAAUUAUUUUCAAUUUCCUGCCACAGCAAAAGCUUCAAAUAUUUUUAUCUGCUAAUAUAAUACUUUUCAGAGCAAAUUAAGCUAUUUUAGAAGUGAGCAGAGCAGAUACUAAAUGCCCUCUACAGCAUGCCUUGCAUGGAAUAUAAAAGUGUAAAGCACAUCACCCAUGCUUAGUCCCUCAUAAUAGUUUCCAAAAUAUCCCAUAAAUCAUGGGGAAUCGAAUGCAUGAUCUCCACCUUUAGCAGACAUGUUAAUUAUCAGAAAUGAGCAUGAUCUUUAAGUUAAAAAAAGAUCAACAAUGGCAUUAUAGGGUUCUCCACAACAUUAAUAUAUGAAUUUUCUACAACUAAAUUAAGGUCAGGAAUUCGAAUUACUGCAUUGUGUCUAUAUUAGAGGCUCAAGUUUCCAACUUUGAAUUUGGGUCAUUAUGGUUCAACAUCUGAUGAUAAAAAGUUGCCUAAAUUACUGUAGGCUUUGUUCUCCACAUUGUACUUUCCUAAUCUCUACCAUAGAAAAUUUUCUCCUCUUUAUCAAAACAAAGCCUUCUAUGUGCUCCACCAUUCUUGCAUCAUAAUCUCUAUUUUAGGUGGUUGUGCUUCUACAGCUAAUUUCCAUAAUUAGAAAAAAAUGGUGCUUUUAAAUUAUUAACAUUGGUGAAGUUCUUUGGUUAGUUGUUGCCCAAUUUAUGGAUAAGGUUAUAUUUUGUGUUAUUAUAGUGUGCAGUAGUUUAGGUCAUUGUGUACAUUAUUUCUUAUAUGCAAGUUGGUCCAGAUAAAUCCAAACAAUGUAGAAUCAAUGUUUUGUUUUAUAUGAUGAAUUUUAAAUUUGGUGCCUAUAUCUGAUCUACAAUGAACAGAUGUGGUUUCAGGAUAACUUAAUAUAAUUGAACAAUCUUUACUUAACUAUUCUCGAUUUGCGAAAAAGAGAUUUUUUUUAAAAAAAAACCAUGGGAGGGUUACCAUGGUCUUAUUAUACAGAAUUUUUUUAGAAAGAUUAAUCUCCAUUUAAACAUAAAAUUGACCCUUCUACUAGAUUGUUAUUUGGCAUGUAUAUUGGAAUAUCUUCUCUAUUCCAAGAACCAGUACUUGGGUGCAGAGGAAAAAAUAGAUAUUAUAAAUUUUUGUUGCAAUGGAAAUGUCGAAUGUAUUUAAUGAAAAUAUAUGAUGUUACCUCUUCAAACAGCUUAAAUUCAUCAGUAAGGCUUUCCCUUUUGUUUUUACCUUCAUACUUGUAGUUAUUGGUCAAGUAGCAAAAACUCCUCAUCCACACUACAAGAACACAAUAGUGUAUCACCUUCAAAUGAGCUCUCACCAUGCGAACAAUCAAAUGUAUUCCCUUGAAAACGUAAUAACGAAUACAAUUUGUGGCCGUCCCGUUUCUCAAACAAAGAAUACACAAUGUUCGGAAUUUCUCAUACAAAAACACUUCUGUAGAACAAAUAACAGGAUGAGGCACCGUUUAUCCGACUAAUUAGAUGCCGCCUUUGCCUUGUCAACGUUUCUUGCUUGCCCCUCGGGGCUCUCCUUACUCUUGUUCGUGGUCAAUUCUUUGGCUUCUACGUAAUUUUUCUGAUCGGAACUCUUCUCAGCAGAAGAAGCUUCUUCUUUGCUUUUGACCUCUUGGUCUUUGGAAGAGUCGGAAGUGGGAGUUUUCUUUUUCUCGUCCGCGAUUUCCUUUACGACCUCCUCCAGUUUAUCCAACCUAUCUAUCACCUUCGAUAGCUUUAGAUCCUUGUCUUCUUCGAGGGAUUCUAAUUCAGCCUGCUUCGCCUUUUCUUCCUCCUCGGCUUUUUUCUUUUUCUCCUCCACUUCCUGAAACAAGAACAAGACAACUAUUCCUGGUCUUUUAGUUGGAAGAGUUAGGUUUCUGGAUUUUUAAGAAAUAUAGAAAAAUCAAAACCUUCAUAUGGCUGUAGAAAAAUAUAAAUCUUUAGGUAUGAUGAUUGACUAAGGGCAUUGAAUUAGUAAAAUAAGAGACUGUACUAUCCAACAAUCAAUAAUAUUCAAGAUAGAAAACCUGCAGAUACAUUCACAAAUCACAGAGCAGAUACAGAUAGAACUGCAUAAAUGUAGAGGAAAGAGAAAGAGAGACCUGUACGUACAAUGCGCGAUUACGAGACAGGAAUUACAAGAUAAAAGGAUUUCAUAAGCUUAAAGAAGAAAAAAGGUUUAGCAUGGGCCGUGCAUAAUGCAUGAAAAACAGAGUUAGUUGGAACAGAAUAAUGCAGGAUUUUUACGUUCAGCUGCCUUUCAAAUGAAAACUGGAAAAGCUAUAAUAUAAGCUACACUUAACAUUUGCUCAUGAUCACUCUCACAAAAUCUGCAUUUCAUGGCCAAUCCAAUCAAUUGUAAUCCAGAAACAUAAGAUAAGUUCGAUGGCUAUCUUUCUUGCUAUCAGACCAUUGAAAGUUUUUGUUUUCAUAAGCAACACAAACUUUCAAAAGUUGGCAAGAAAGGGAGUAUAUAAUGUCACGUCACAAGUUAACAACUAGUAUCUACAAAGUAGGAACUGUUCCAGGACUACAACUUAACUGAUGCACAAACUUCAUGUUCUAAAAUUAACAAAUAGGAGCUGUUUCUAAAAUUGACGAAAUACAACAAAAUUUAUGAACGUGGUCUUAAAAUCAUCAGUUCCAACACAGUCGCUGCUUAAUUCUCCCCCAUUUACAACAAAGUAUACUACAUAUUCUAUUAAAUUCUUUUUGCAAGAUUUUCAAAACAUUGUUGUUGAUGUUGCUGUUGUUGCCAGCAUAGAACAUAUUCUAUCUAAUUUGCACAAACUCUCCAAGCUAAGAGCAAAAAUACAGCAAAAAAAGGAAACAAAUAUUACAAAUUUGGAUAGCUCCUACUCAAAUCAACUAAUCGAUGCUUACAGAACACAACCAUUGCAGUAAACUCCAACAGAUGCAGGUUUAACUUUUAGAAUGAAAUGAACUAUAAUUGCAACAGAGAUAAAAGAAGAGAGUAAGAACACUACAUUACCGCCUCCAUUCUCCUGAUCUCAUACCUCGCAUACUGAGCCACCAAAUACACAGCUGAACACAAAACUAAAUCCAAUUAGGAUUAAAAUUACAUUACAAAAUCUACAAUUUAAAGGGGAAAGAAAACUAGAAAAAUCAAACAAAUUCAAGGAAAAUUCCGUACCUAGCGAAGGCAUGCAUGCGAAAAAGAGCUGCACCAAAUGGAAAUCGAGCCUGCGAUCCAAAACACAAACGAGUGCUUCAAUAGUCCCAAGCCACAAAACCCUAACCCUAAACCCCUAGAAUUCGAGGGAUUACCCGAACUUCUUCCGCUUGGGAGGAGUGGUGAACAGGAUCUUCGCCGCGGUCAUGAAGUCGAGGUUCUGGAUCUGUCGGUAGGCCUCCUUCCUCGCCUCCACCGCCGCCGCCGCCCCAUCGGAGGAUGCGGCGGCGCCACCGCCGGAGCCCGACUCCGCCACCGCCUUGUCGCCGGCGAAGCGCCUGGGCAAGGGUAAGAGCAGCGCGCGGAGACGAUCCGAGAGGGGUGUCGGUCGCAGUCGAGGCCUCAGGACCAUCGCACGUUCAUGGCGAACGGCGAUGGAGAGGGCGAGCGAGAGGGUUAGGGUUUAGGCGGAGGAGAUCGAGGAGGUCGCGGCGGAACGAGGGAGGAGAAAGAGAGUUCAAAGCCCACUGGGCGCAAGAGCGAAUGGUUCUUUCUGGGCCAUAUAGGCCCAAUAAAGGCCCAUUAAGACAUUAGGGCAAAGUCUCUAUUUGGUUCCCAAAAAAUAUAUAUAUUUUUCAAAAAAAAAUUUCAAAAUUUUGUGAAAUAUUACUGUUUUUAUAUAUUUUUUAUUUUUUUAACCGGAAAAUAAAAACACUAAAAAAAUGGUGUUUUCCGACGUUUUUUUGAAAAAACAAUUCUCUAGAAUUUUCGGAGAAACCAGACGUCCCAUAAAGGAAUGGUUGGUUUGAGGAUUUGAAUCGCAGGACGCAAUAAAUGUCUCAAAAAAGAAUUUAGAUUCUUCUAGGCAUCGGUAACCUAAGACGAACAAAUACAGUCUAGUUGAUAGGUAUCCUCAUCUUCAAACCUCAAGUUGUGUGUCCACUGCAAGCGUAAAUAAGAUGUGCUUCGAAUGUGGGCCCCGGGCUUUUUCCCGACAAAAACGGCAAAUUUGGAUAAAUCCAAUAUGAUUCAAAAUUUGAAACCUGGUUCUGAAAUCAAAAGAGUUUGCAUAGAUCAAAGAGUCCUUUGGUGGUUUCUUAUGUCAGUGUACUUGUAUGCACUUUGAAUGCUUAUUUGACAUAAGAUGAAAUACAUGAAUAUGAUAGCUGAGUUUAACAUAAUUUAAAAAAUAUAUAUAUAUAUUUCUAGUCUCAAAAUGCAAAACCAUGUUGUUGAUCUGCUCAUCUAGUUGCUGCAUCACACUCCAUCCAUUAAUGAGAAAAAAGUCAGGAAAACAUAAAUUAAAUUUGAGUUCAACCACCACUUGAAUAUUGAUAGGGUGCCAACCUCAAUGAUAGCUGAGACUGGGCAAAUAUUCAGCCUAAACAGUGACAGAAAUCAUAAUGAUUGAUCUUUUCGAUUGUUCAUCAAAUCGAUAACAGUUGGUAAGAACAGUAUCCUUCGUAUCAGUGGCCGACAGUUUAACCACAGAUAGUGAUGAUAAUAAUAACAACACAUUCAACUAUGAGUGAUCACAGUGAUCACAAAAUGGUUGGUGAGCUCUUCCCACACUGAUCAGAACCAAGAUUCAGAAAACAAAGGUUUAAACAAAAACACAUCAAAAGCUCCCGAAAAAAUUAAAACAAAAGGGGGAAAAGGAAGAGGGAAUUCCUUUGGAAUCCUACAUUUCCGACAUCGCCUAUUCAUCGGAGACCCAAAAUCGGAUGUGAUGCAGUUAUCAGCAAAGUUAAUGCAGCAACUACCAACUAAGGCUGAAUAUAAUGAACACUCCACGCAAAUAAUCCAGCUCAACACUUCACCCAAAUAAUAUAUUACUCAUUAAAGCAUUCAUUUUGGAAUAACAAUCACAUAUUUACUGGAAUAAUUCAAGCAAACAUUGUUCUCCAUCAUAAAGCAAAUUGGAUAGUGACAUAUGAGGACAACUGAGCCCGUAACAAGUGAAUCACCUUGUAUUUUAAGUCACCUUGUAUUUUUGAGUUGAAGCACCACGAAUUGAACAUCAAAAUAUUAUCUGAUAACCAUAAUGGUGAAUAAAUCAAUGCAUUAAACUAUCAUUCACCUCAAAUUUCGAGAAAUCAAUGCAUAGCGGUCACUCAUCCUUUUAGUCCUAAUACACUUAAUCCUCUUAACCCCUAUGCCUAGUCACCGUCUAAAAUGCUAUAGCCGGAUUAAAAAUUUCAGCCUUAUUAUAUCUCAUAUGCAGGAUCAAAUCCUAGGACUGUCACAUUCCUCUCCCCUAUAAGCCCCGACGUCCUCGUCAGGCUCAAGCAAACUCACAAGCACCAAACGAUCUAGACUUAGCUGACCCUAUGACGAGCCGCGCUUCACCCACAACGGUCAUCAACUGGGGAGCCACGCUCUAUCCGUUGUAUAACCCUAACUAAGCCGAAACUCAUCUCACACUUCAGGCUGGUGAUUAGCUCCGAUACCAACUGUGACGCCCCACAUCCCAAGGAGUCAUCCAUCCUUCUAACUCUAACACGUUUAACCCUCAUAAUCUCUUGGCCCUAGCCACCGCCCACAAUACUAUAGCCAGGAUAAAAGGUUUAGCGCUAUUAUAUAUCAUUUAUAUGAUUAUUCCAAAUCCUAGGAGUGUCACAGUAUAACUAAUUUGUGCGUAUUUUUGGACUCUCUUUAUUUAAGCAAAUUGGUUUCAGAAAAACAGUAAAAUGAUGUUACUCAGCAAAAUAAGGUGUUGAAAAUACUUCAAUCAAACAGUCAGAAGUCUAGUUCCCCCACAAAGACUAAUUUAGGACAUGUUACUUUUUCGAGACUAUACAAAUGAUUUCCAUUCUAAUAGAAAAAAUGCAGUUAAAUUCAUUUUUCUUUUUACAACAUCAAUGAAGAAAUAAGCCCUUUGAAUAUUACCACCUAUACUAAUUCAGAAAAGAUUAUACUUUUUCAUACUUGAUCAGGGAAAUACAUAGUGGCAAACAAAUGGGGCAGAGAUAGUCAUAAGAUGAAUCCAAACACGGUCGAUUGAUCGAACCAAUUCGUAUAUUCAGUGCGAAGAAGCCUUUCGGUUUGUCGAAGGAUCCACGAUUCUGAGUGUACCCCCGAGCUCUAAAGGAACCAGAGGAAUAAGAGAGUGCAGAACAUCGGUUAUUAACGGCCUAUAACUCGGUUCAGGUUGGACACACAAAACCGCUACAGCCGCGACCUGGAUCAUAACCACAUAAAAAAAAAACUUGUUAAGUAUACAAAAUUUUCUAUUCAACUAAUUAAACAAGAUUAAAGCCAUAUCGCCUACUUGGUAUAAGUGUUUCAGAUCCAUCGUGUUCCUAAUUACGGGAUCCACUAUGUUAGGAAGUUUCGAUCGGUCGAUUAGCUGAGGCAUGGCCUGCAUACGUGAAUAAAUAUAUCAAAUAAUAUUGAAUAUUUUAUGGGUCCAUAAAAAAAUUCAAUUCGAAUUUUGUUCUUAGGGAUUAAUACGAGAGAAAUUGAUACCCAUGUAACAAUAGAUUGGCACUGAGAUGGCGCCAUCUUUUCAACCGGCCUCCUCCCUAUCAGAAGCUCGAGAAGAACUACUCCAAACGCAUAGACAUCGCUCUUCUCGGUUAAUUUACCUGAAGAAUGUUAGUUCGAUAAUGUUAUUAAAACGGCUUUAACAAGGAAAACGAAGAUAUAUAGGAGAUAUGAAAGAACAACGCGAGUAUACCAUCUAAAAGGUACUCGGGAGCUACAUAACCGAGAGUUCCCGAGAGCUUUAUAGUGCCUUUGUUCUGAUUCCCGCCGGCCACUGCUAGCCCAAAAUCGGAAAUCUAUCACCAAAUUCAAGUUCUUAUCAAAAACAGAUAUAACAUGAGACUUAGAAAAGUGUAAAUUGAAACAUACAAAAUUAAAAACGAAGAGGAAACCAGCGAAAUUAGACUAGAAAACUCGAAUCUACCUUGGCAUUGAAGCUCGAGUCCAAAAGUAUAUUCGAUGAUUUUAGAUCUCUGUGAAUCACUGGCGGGAUGCAAUGCUCGUGAAGAUAUUCUAAUCCUCUGUGGACCAUUACAAAUUCGGUACAACUAAGUAAACUACUUUUAUAAGUUGAUCACCAUAUUGAGAAGUGGAAGUAAGCAUCAAAAUUUAAACCUUGCCGUAUCGAGCGCAAUUUUCAUUCGAAUGUGCCAAUUUAGCGCUGCUCCGCGAGAUGGUCCUACAAAGCAGGAAAUUACAUUUAUAAAUCCAAGCUUUUUGGGUCUUUAUAAACACUCUCACAACAAUAUAAAACUAGGAACGAAGUGAACGGAAAAGUACCAUGUAAUUGUGUUUCGAGAGAUCCAGUUUGCAUCAAUUCAUAAACAAGCAGCCGCGUUUCUCCAUGUACACAAUAACCCAAAAGCGAAAUCACAUUCGGGUGCCGAAUUCUUCCGAGCAAAUCGAGCUCAUUCUAUAUAAAAAAAAAAAAAAGAUUUAAGAAAUUACCAUUUGAAUCACCGAAAACACCAAAAUUUAGCAAGAUCCCAACUUCGGUAGAUCACCUCAAAUUCUCUUUCGCAAUCCUGUCCACCGCCUUCUAAUUUCUUUACAGCCGCGAGAGCUCCCCCAUCAAGAGAAGCUUUAUACACGCAACCGAAUCCUCCUUCGCCCAAUACAUUACUCACGCUAAAUUUGUUUGUAGCCAAUUCUAAGUACGAAUAGUCGAUCAUCGCAAGCAACCCUUUUUUACUCAAUUUUAAUGAACUGAAUUUGCUCAAUACCGGAACUAAUGUAAUCCCUCUACCAUCUAACAACAUGAAUAAAAACCAUAUAUCAAAAGAACAAUUUGUGACACAUAGUGGAUUUAGCAGGGGAAUUUAAAAGAGGCAAAACCUGAGCUUUGGAUGUCUUUGGAAUCGUAAGUUUGGCGAGCUCUUCGCCAGAGGAUCCAGGCGCAAAGUGUCGAUACGACGAUGAUGAGAAUUGCGACGGAUGCUACGGCGAUCGCGAUGAUGAGUUCUUUGUGGAGAGGGUGAUGUCUUAUAACUAUGAUCUGCAUCACUGCACCCAUAACAAUUACCAUGAAAAUUUGAAGUAGAAUACCAUAUACUCAUAGAAAAUUUGCUCUCUCAAAUUGAGUCCUGUAGCAGAUCCAGAGAUUACUCAGAAACUACAGUAACCCUUCAAGUCAAAAGGAUAAAGAUGCCAUUUUUUUUUUCUCUCUCGUCAAAGUGGCAACAAAAAGCAACAAUUUUUACAACUGAUUACAGAAGCAAAUCUGAGUUACUAAACUGAAGAACAAAAUUUUUCUGCUAGAUUUUGAUAAAAUUAGAAAAAUAAACACAAAUUAACUGGAAAAUUCAGUAAUGCGGGGGCAUUAAAAGCUUAGAAACCGAAAGCCCACAAAUUUAAAAAAAAAAAAAAACGCCAAAAUCGUUUCAAAAUUGGAAACACCGUACCUUGAGGAGAUGGUGCCAUUGAUGGAGGAGACACAGAAAAAGGUUGGUUUUGAACAGAGGGGUGCAAGCGUUGGGAUUGCGGAGAAGGGAGAGGGGGAUGCAAUGGUGAGGAGAUUGGGUGGGUUCUCCCAUUGGCGAGAGCAAGUAGGAGAGAGAAAGAGAGGAACCAAAGAAGAAGAAGAAGAUGAUGAUGAUGAUGAAAAGGUACCUGUGGUUUCAUGGUUUCAAAGAAAAAUUUGUAGAGAAAGAGAGAGAGAGAGAGAGAGAGAGAGGGAGGGAGAAAGAGAAAGAGGCCAAAUUAUGACCAAGGAAACAAAACCAAAUUGGAAUCUUUUUAAGUGGUUUUGAUUUGAAUCCUCUGUUACUCUCUCUCUCUCUCUCUUCAAAUAGUGUUUUUGGGUGGGCCUAGUUUUUGACAGUGAUGAAUCCUGUGAGACUUUUUGUUUCUCUCUCUAGAACAGAGAGAGAGAGAGAGAGAGAGAUAGAGGGGAAAAGAAAUACAAGGAACAGAGACCACCCCCUCGAAAAAGAAGAGAACUAGUGUAGAGAGAGAGAGAGAGAGAGAUGCAUUUAAGGGUGCAGUUACAAAAAGAAGAAGAAGAGAAAAAGAGAGAGAGAGAGAGAGAGAGAGAGAGAGUAUCUAAAAAUAUAAGAUGGGAGAAAAAGGAAAGUGGGGGGUUUUGUGUUAUAAAAAAGAAAUAAUUGCACCAAUAUAUAAGUGGAUUAUACACCAAAUUUUUUUGUUGCAUAAUGUGUUGGAUUUACAAACUUAUUUUUUGUUGAUAUAUUGAUGUAGUUUUUUUUUUUUUUUUCCUCUUGUGUUUCUAUUCUAUCUCUCGUAUAAUACGGGCCUAGAUAAAGCACUUUUAGAAAAAUUAAUUUCUUUCUUUUUAUGUUUUAAAUUUUUUUGCCCUUAAAUCAAAACACUUUGACCAUUGGUGGUCCUUGAAUCAAUAUUAUUUUAUUUACUAUCAAUAAAACCAAGCAGAAUAUCAUAAUUUAAGGAUAAAGAACUUUGAUCUAAGAACUAAAAAUUUAGAAGCAGCACUUACUUUGUGCUUCUAAAAGUAUUUUGAGUUCAAUUCUGUAUAAUUUUAUACAAACUUUAAAAGUUUUUAAAAAGUUAAAAGUAUAAAAUAUUUAUACUAUAUAUACAAACUUUAGAUGUCAAAACUUCUAAAAAAAGAUUUAAAAAAAAACAUUUAUUGCAUUCGUAAAAUUAAGAAUGCAAAGAGAUCCAGGUUGAUAGAGCUUCUGCUCUAAUGUGUCAGAGUUGUGAGUAGAAACCAAAAAUUAGAAGGAACAAUAAAUAAUUCUCUUUGUAUCCAUUAAGAAGAUCUCCUAAAAAUUAGUCAAAAUCGCUGCCGUUCUGACCACACUCCGAAGGGAGUGGCAAAUACGAGCAAAAAAAUAUGAUAAAAAUCAAUCCAUCUCGAUCGGAUCCGCCCAUUUGCAUCUCUAGUUUUGAAUUGGAUUAAAUUGUAACUACUGAAUCGCCCUUGGGUGUUUUAUUAUGUAUUUUAAUUUAGUUGCCAUGUGAGCAGGCAGUGAGCUGCCGCUUCUUUUGGUUGAUUCUUUCAUUAAAACAAGGAAAAUAAAAAAUUGAUUACCUGGAUUUCAAAAUUUGUUUAUAUAAUCGCAUUAUAAUUAGUUUAUAUUAUUUAAUCAUAUCAUAUAUGGUAAUAUAUAUAUAUAUAUAUAUAUAUAUAUAUAUAUAUAUAUAUAUAUAUAUGACAUGUGGGCCCCACCAAUGUGGGUCCAUUCUUUAAGACCAUCUCAGCACGUCGGAUUCUAAAACACUUUUGGAAGAAUUAAAGCUUCGUUUAAAAUUACGGAGAGAUUACGUUACAUGCGGUUAAAAAGUAUGAUAGAAAAUAUUUUAUUUUUUUUGUACGUAAUAUUCUAUUUUGCAUAUCGCAAUUACGAUAUAUUUUCUGCGAUCUCAUUGAAGAAUGCAGAAAUAUAUCUCUAUAUGUUUUUAUCUCAACUCUAUUUUAUCUAAUAGAGUCAAGUAGGUCUCGAUAUCAAAUUAAGCCUUAAAAAAAAAAAAAAAAAAAAAAAAAAAAAAAAAAAUAAAUAAAAACCUUUGUCUCCAAACUUUUCCGAAAUGUUCAUUUUUUUUCCAGCAACAUUCGAAUUUAAUUUAUCUAAGACUCGUAUAAACUUUUCCACAUAAUUUCAAAUCACUAUCCGAACUUAAAAACAGGAAAAGAAAAUUCAAAAGAAAAGGAUUAUAUGAAAAAAUAACCUCAAGUAAUUUUGAUUUUUUUCCCCCUUCUCUUAUAAGCAUUUCAUAUCACUUCAAGCUUUUGUGAAAAUUUAAGUAGCGCACACGAACAUCACUAGAUGGAAUAUAUAUAUAUAUUUUUUAAAAAAAAAGUUUACAUUAUACAUUUCAAAUCUUUUAAAAUAUCCUGUACGGUACUUUAAAUAGUUACGGAGAAAUUUAAUUAAAAUUCAAACUUUAAAACUUACGAUAAGUAACUGCUCUAGCUAAACCAAACAAGCACGAUAAUUAUGUUUUAAUCACACGAAUUUACAUUGGAAUUCAUGUGUGUUUAAUAUAUAAUUAAAGAACAUGGAGCCUGUACUGGCCAAAAACCACAUGAUUUUUUUUUUCCAAAUUAAGCUAUACAAAGGUUUGUGUAGUUUUUUUUUUUAUUGGGAGUGCAUAAACUACUAAACCACACAAGGUUCAUUGGCCAUUGCAUGAUGAUUAAGGAAGUUAAUUAACACUACUUUUCAUGCACACUUGGAUUUUUUGGGACCAGUAAUCUUCUUUAAAUGCUAUUAAAGUAGAACUUUUUUAAGUAUCGAUUAUUUAUCUUAACAAGAUUUAAUAUAUACUGCAGCUAUUUGCAGGUAGGGUGUAAACGAGCCGAACACGGAGCUGAUUCGUUAAAUAUCGAGCCGAAAAAUAGCUCGUGUUCGACUCGUUUAUUAACGAGCCGAACAUAAGCCGGCGAACGAGCAAUAAAUUAAAAGAAAAUUAGAUUAAAUAUAAAUAAAAAAUAAAUUUAUAAAAUCUUAUCCAUUAGACUUUGAUCUAAUAGUUGAAACUUUAGAUAUAAAUUAGUCUUUUUAUAAUUAAACUCGCAUUUAUAUUUUUAUUUUACUAAAAAUUAAAUAAUAAAAAUAUAUAUUAUAUAUAAUUAUUUAUUUAUACAUAAAAAUAUAAAUUAAAUAAAUUAUAUAAAUAUAAAAUAUAUGUAUUCGAGGUGUUAUCGAGCCGAGCACGAACGAGCUGACCCAAAGUCGUGUUCGAUUUGUUUAUUAAACGAGCAAAAAAAUCCAGCUCGUGUUCAGCUCGUUUACUAAAUGAGCGAGCCGAUCUCGAGCUCAUUUCGAACCGAACACGAGCUGGCUCACGAACAGCGAGCUGGAUUGCCACCCCUAUUUGCAAGCGUUAUUGGGCAAAUGUUCGUUCUUUGCUUCUCAAAAUAAAGAAGCUGUAUCAGAAGCCAAGCCGUAAUAAUUGUUAAAUGAUUGAAUAAGAAGGAUCGAAUCUUACU
rnacentral:lncRNA from 1 species